GGUACGGAUGUAUCCCGAAAGCGGUCCACUACCUUGCACGGAGGUGAAAACCUCAUGAAUGACUAGUUUCUCGCUCCCACUUAAAGGGUAAAAUCAUUCAACUCAUGUAAUGUGUAGUGCAAACAAUACUUAAAUACAUUAAGCAAGAAGAUAAUGAAUGCAAAAAGAUAUCAUGAAAAUUUUUUUAAAAUAAAUACUUUCUCGACCAUAAAACAAAAAUUAAUCAACUUUAUGGCUCGACUAUCUUAUUUUUUAAAAAAAUGUCCCCAGUGGAGUCGCCAAGCUGUCGAAAUCAUUUUUUAUUUUGGAAAAAAAAACAAAAAUUAGUUGUCGACUUUAAAAAAACAAAAAUUGGGAGUCGCCACCAAUCUUUUAUUAAGGUGUGAUUGGAUCACCUAGACAAUAGCUUUGGUUUACGAGUUUUAAAAAAAUGGAUUCAGGAGUCGGUUACGUAAGAGGAAGGAUUAGCACCCUCGUAACGCCCAAAAUUGGUACCUAGUUAAUUAAUUAGUGUCUUAAUAUUGAAAAUUUAAAAAUAUGAUCCUUAAUAAAAACUAAAAAACGUUACUUAUUAAGACUCUUAUCAUUUCAGAGAAAGAAAAUGUCACACCCAAUGCGUUAGCGCACGGCAUUCUAUUUCCUCAAAAAUGAUUUAGUCCAAAAUACUCUUAUAAUAAAAAUUUAAAAGAAUAUCCAUUUAUUUAAGAUUUAAGAAAUCGCGGCCUAAUACGUUAGGGCACAAUUUCUCAAAAUCCUAAACUUGGAAUAUUUCCUUUGUUAUCAUUUUUUUUAAAAUUUUUGUCUCGAGAAAUCAAUACGUCACAUCCAAUACGUUAGGAUACAACAUAUUAAAUUCCCAACAACAAGCUUUUCAUUUUAUUUUUUGAUUAAUGAGCAACUCUCGAUCGUUAGAUUUAACGAAGAAAAUCGGAACCUAAUACGUUAGGGCUCAAUUUCCUUGAAAAUCCUAAAUACGAGUAUUAUCUCAAUUUUAAAAAUUUCUGAAUAAAAUGAUUUUGAUGCUUGAAUGAUAUCGAACAUAGCCUUUUUAACGAAUAGAAUGCGAUAAAUGAUAAUAUACAACAUGGAGCGAUAAUUCGUCAAUAAAACAUACACUAAUGAAUGAUAAAUAAUAAAUGAAUUCGAAAGAAAAUACAUAAACCUAUUUAAGAGAGAAUUUAUAGGUAAUAGAUAAAAUAAUAUGAAAUCAAUAAUAUAUAGAAUAAAAAUAAUUUAUUACAAAUUAUAUAUGUAUAUAUAAAAUAGUAUUGUAUAAAAACAUUUUCAUAUAAAUCUUUAAGACAUGUAGAUAUGUAAAGUGAAUUUCGAAAAUAUAUUACAAAAUAGGGAUAUCAAAGAAUAUAUACAAAUCAUGUUGAAUUUACCUAAAAUAUAAAAAAGUGUGAUAAAUCGAAAUAAUAGCAAUAUAUAUUGAAUUUCAAAAUAAUGAUACAUUAUAUUUUUUUAAAAAUGGUAAUAUAUACAUAUAAUUAAAUAAACUUAUAGCCAUAAUACAUAUAAAACAUAAAAUAAAAUGGAAAAUACUAAGCUUAAUCAUUAAAAUAGUAUUAGAUUUAAAAUUAAAUAUAUUUUAAAAAAUAGUGGUGUAAGAAAUCAAGCACAUUGAAUUAACAAGGAUUUAAAUUGAACUCCAAACAGAAUUCAAGGAAAAAAAUGAAGGGCCCAAUUAAAAGGCGUGAAUAACUCAUAGGGCUCGAAUGGGAAAAUAUCUCCAUCUUUUGAAACGCGUCACUUUAUUAGGGCUAAAUAAAUAAAUAAAAUUCGCAAUGGUAUCACCUUCUCCCUUUUUUAAAAUCGUAAAUAAGUAAUAAAAAAACAAUAAGCCACCUUUAAAAAACUGCCAAUCGUUCUCCCUUUUUUUUAUUGAUUUUUUUCCUCCCCCUCAAUGAAGGGAGAGGCCUCUAUUUAUAGUUGAGCCUCCCCAAAUCCAACGGUACAGAUCAAUUACAUCAACGGCUAAGAUUAAAGGGUAUCUACAAAUUAAAUCUCUAAGAUUAUAAAAUCAUAUCUUCCAAGAUUGCAUAUCAUAUCUAAGAUUGCAUAUCCUUGAAGAUUAUUUUUCCAUAAGCUUGUAGAUGGACCUUCAACCUUUUUAAGUAAUGGGUCAUUCCGAUCGGGCCAAAUGGUAUAAUUUUGUACUAGACUUAAACUUUAUUUUAUUAUUGUGAGCCCAGGCUAAAAUUGGGUAUUACAAUCUUAACAAGCAUUAAACUCUUAUAUAUUAAAAGGCUUGCAUAGGUAAAGAGCGUGGAGAAUUUUAGCACUUAUUUUGUAAUUUAAAACUUGUUUUUCAGAGUGCAUUUUGUAAGUAAUAAAGUGAGUCACUUGAUUUUUAUCCUAAAUUUUUAGGGGAAAACUUAAAGGAGAGUUAUCUAGAUCUUAGGUACCAAAUUGAGGUUGUUAAUCUAGUGGUUGUCAAUGCUUGUAAUCACUUGUUGUAUGAGGUGUUAAAUAGUGGAUUAUCUCUCUAUGUAAGGCCUUAUAGAUAGAGGAAAACUGAACUGUGGAAACACAUCAAGUGUAUAUUGUUUUUCUACUUUGUUCUUCACCAAUACCUAAAGUAGUGGGUAGCACUGCUUCUGACACUACUCAAUUUCUACUUGCAAUUAUUGAUUUUAGACCUAACAAAUUUAAUUAAAUUUUGAUACAUAAUUCUGAAAACUUUUCAUGUUUGGACUCAAAAUUGGUUGGAUUCACUCAUUUUCAUUGUUUGCAUUAUAAAAUAUUUUUAAAAUAUGUUAACAUUAAUAUUUUACUCACAAUUUAAAUUACUUAAAUUCAAAUCAAAUUAAACUAAAUUAAAAUUAAAAAAUAAAAUUAUUUCAAUAAACCAUUCGAGAUAGAAACAAGUAUAGAGGGAAGUGGAUGGUAGAGCCAAAGUAUAUAAUUGGAUCAAGCGCAGGACAAAUUAUGUAUGAAAUUAGAAAGAUGAAGAUGAAGCUCAAUCAAAAUAAGAUAUUGCAUACCAAGUAGGUUUAGCCAUAAAUUGUUUAUGGUCGACAGUCAUUCUUGACCGACACUCUUGUUCUUCUUCAACAAUUUUCCCUUUAAAAAAACAUCUUAUCAUCAAAAUAUUUUUAUUAAGGUCCAAUCACUCUUGUUCUUCAUAUGUAGCAAUAAUAAGUGCAAAAAUCUUUUUGCCAGUCCAUUUCACAAAUGCUCUUUUGUCCAUAUAUAACACUCAAUUUUUGGAAUUAGUAUUCCUUCGGUCACCUCGAUUUUUGGAAUUAUUAUUAUUAUUUCUCUGUAGCCUCUUGAUUGGCAAAUGCUUAUGGGGUUAAGCAAAAAAUCUUGGGGCAAAAUCAAAUUAUAAAGUUGAUAAUCAUAAUUUUAUUAUUCUUAGACAAUCAAAGUAUAAAAUUAACUUAAAUUUGUAAGAUUUUAAAGGUGGCCCCUAAUCAAGACAAGUAAGUGUCACAAAAACAUGAUCGAAAUUAAUGAGGUAAGUAUCCUCUGUAAGUUCAUUAUUCUCAUGUCUCGUAAAAUAAGCCAAUACGUUGGCACUUAGCAUUAGCAGACAAUAUCAAAGGGGGGCUCCAAUGCACUGGGGGCCUUAGGUUCCAACCCUAAUAUAUAUACAUGACUGACUGCUGAAAUCAGUUGUAGAUUUGGCCUAGUUAUGGUAUGAUGACGUGAAGUACUUGGAACCGGUUUGGCAUACACAUUGUGACAAAACAUGCCUAUCCAAGAAUUUCUGUUCCAAACAGGAUUCAAAUAUAUGGACAAAUCCGUAGCUUUCCAAUCUCUUUCCAUGAAAUUUUACAAAAAGGUUUUUUUUAGCCAAUUUUUUUUAUUAAUAGCCUUAAACAACGUCCACAUCUGCAUGGAGAUAUAUGUAGAGGAACCACCCUAUAUAAUCUUUGCACGGUAAUCUUCCUAUAUUUACAACUAUUUCCAAUCGAUAGUAUCGGUGGAGAGAUCAUUAAUCCCUAGGGUUCUUUUUCUUUUCUUUUUUCUUUUUUCUUUUUAAUUUUUCGUCCAUUAUUUGAUCAUCAUCUCCAACUCCAAGAAUAAUAGCAAUAAUAAUGUUGGGUGGCUCUUCAAUGGAGGAAAUACCAGCUGCUGGUAAUAACUCAUCGGAGAUCCAGCUUCCUCCAGGUUUUAGAUUCCACCCUUCUGAUGAAGAGCUCAUAGUUCAUUACUUGAAAAACAAAGUGACUUCCAACCCUCUUCCAGCUUCUAUUAUAGCUGAGAUUGAUUUAUACAAAUAUAAUCCAUGGGAGCUUCCAAGUAUGUAUAUGCAUAUGUAUACUAAUUAGAAAGGGUUCUUGUAAACUGUACUGAUUAGUUCUAUCUGGUUUGUUUAUUUGUGAUCUAUCUAUCUAUCUAUCUAUCUAUCUAUCUAUAUAUAUAUAGUUAAAGCUUCGUUCGGAGAAGAUGAAUGGUUUUUUUUCUCUCCAAGAGACCGGAAGUAUCCGAACGGGGCGAGGCCUAAUAGAGCGGCAGCUUCGGGGUAUUGGAAGGCGACGGGGACGGAUAGACCGAUCCUAACGUCGUGUGGAACCAAGAGUAUUGGAGUGAAGAAAGCUCUGGUAUUCUACAAAGGACGUCCACCUAAAGGGACCAAGACAGAGUGGAUCAUGCACGAGUAUAGGCUGCUUGAAACCAUGAUUUGGACUCCCAAACGAAAAGGGUCUAUGAGGGUAACAACUAAGACCAUGUGGACCGUAUAGCUAAUUUAUGUGAUGAAUUAUGAAUGAUGAUAAUCGAUUUUCUUUUCUUUUUUUUAUGUUAACAGUUAGAUGAUUGGGUGCUUUGUCGAGUGAGGCAAAAAGCCAGCAUACAAAGGAACAGUUGGGAAGAUAGAAAUAUUAGCAGUCAUGAACCAGCUGAUAGCUUCUAUGUCCCCAAUUCCAUUGAGCCAUGGCCUUCCAACACAAACCACAACGUUGAAAUGGGCAAAACCUACCUAUUCAAUGACUGCCCUAUGUUGCCUUUCAUUUUUGCAUCUCAAGACCUUCCUUGCUUCGACACAACCUCCAGCAUUAGCUUCCAAAGCAGUGACAAAUCUUGCACAUCCCUCCAGGAAGCCAAUUCUGGCAACAACAACAUGCAGAUUUCAUUUUCGUCCCUACAAAACCUGUUUAACCCUUUGAAAAGAGAGUCCAUGGAAAAAGGUAAUUUUGUCCCAACCAGCUGUAAGAAGCUCAAGAAUACUGAGAAAGAUUGCAGUGAAAUGAACUUUUAUAGAUCAAACCAUUUGGAAAACAGUGAUUCUAGUCCACAUCAAUGGAAUUUAAUGAUGCAGUAUGAUCAACAACUUAAUCUCCCGGAUUUUACUGAAACUGACUAAAGAAAGCAUGGGAUUAUACAUAUGGGGUAAAAAAAGGUGUACAUAAAAUAAUCAAUGGUUUCUAUAGUUUGUUGAGGUGAAGGUGUGCAGUUAGAUAUACAGUAGUUUCUACUUACGGCCCGGGUGGAGAUGAUACAUUUGUACGUAAAUUACUAGGGUGAUUUCGAGAUCUUCAUUUAUCUUUAUCUAUUAAAAAUUUCAGAUUGUAAUUUGUAUCAAUGUACAUACAUAGUAUUACAAGUACAUAUGUUAAAACAAUAAAUGCCAUACUGGCUACACCAGAGCUCAGACUAAAGCUCAUGUAAUUUCUAUCAUUGUACACACAUAGUAUUACAACUACAUGGUUUUAUUGUAUCAAUGUACUUCUGUUUUUCUUUUUUUUUUUGUUUUUUUUAUUACAAAAUUUAAACAUUGUUACCUAAACUCCAAAAAAAAAAAAUCACCAUUUGGCGCUCCAAUGCAUUUUAUUCCAAAGUUUUCUGGAACUGCAUCUUAUUUUCAGCAUCAUUGUCUGUUUUUAUGCCCAAAAAGAAAACUACAACAUGGAACCACAAAUGUAGGGCUCCUAAAUGAAACCAAAAAUUCCCUUUGUUUCUAGAGAAGUUAUUUUUUCUUAAAAUAUUUUAAAAACUUUUUUUUUCAAAAAAUUAUACUCUCUAUUUUAAUAAAAACACCAACUUUUUUUAAAUAUUUUAAUUAAUUAAAUUUUACAAAAGAAAACAUAUUUAAAAACUUCAUCAAAAGUUUUUAAAUAUUUUAUUCAUAACAAAUUUUUAACCAUCGAUUGGGAGUACCUUCUUAUUUAUUGCUUUAGAUCAGCUUGUAUUUAUCAUUUUUCACUUUGUUUCCUGUUUCUAUUGAAAAAUGUCUUUCCUUUAUUGAAUGAUAAGGUUAUUUCAGGAAAUUUGAAUUAAAUUAUCGUUGACAAAGGGUUAAUGUACAUUUUAGACCUUCAAUUUAGUAAUUUAUACCUAUUUGAUACUUAAUUUUUUUUAACUUAAUUGCUACCUGAAAAUUGUUAGCUAAAAUCAUACUUUUUUUUAGGUACGUGACUAACACCAUUUAUUUUUAUCAAUCUAACCGAUCAUUGCACGCCACGUGUAUUAAAAAUAAGAAAGAAAAAUAAUUUUAAACUUUAUUUUAAUAUUAUUAAUUAAAAUACUUAAUAUCCCCGAACCACCCCCUCCCCCUCUACCUCUCACCUUAUCCUUCUGCCCAAUCCCUCACCUUUCUCAAUUUUUUUUCCAUUUCGUCCGAGUUCAUUGUACAGCCCAAAUUUUUGCCCGGGCCCAUUACCAAAAUCAAAACCCAACCUAAACAAACCCAAAAUAACCCAAACUCAACCCACCUAAACACUGGCCCAAAAUCCAAAGCCCAAAUUACAAACAAGCCCAAAUAAAGAAAAACCUAGCCCAAACCCAAAAACAAAAAAGAAAGAAACAAAGAAACCCUAGCCCCUAACCCUAGCCUCUGCCGCCGCACCCCACUUGCCCUGCCACCAUCUUUACAAGCCGCCGCACUGCCACCACCGCCACUGUCCCAUUGCCACCAACUCUCCCACUUGUCCCUGCAAACAAUAAAGAAAAAACAGCAGAAUAGCAAAGAGGAGGCUUUAAAAAGCCGAAGCAAAUGUAAUAGGGGGCCGAAUUUCACUACUGUAUUUUAGGGGUUUUUUUGAAAAGAAAACAGAUUCAAUAAAAAUAAAAGAAACAAAGAGGUGAUUUUCAUUUUUUUCUGCUCUUGAGUUCUUUUUCUUUUUCAUUUACUUACGUUUAUUUUUAUUUUUACUUUAUUUUUUGAGUUUUCUUCUAAUUUCAUUUUUUGAAAUAUUUAUAUAAACUAACAUUUGUUUUAAAAAAAAGUCUACAAAUACAUAUACAAAAGAAAAACAGAAGAAAUCUAACCUUUUGAAUUUUCUGGCCACCGGCGGACCUUUCGCCGGAUUUUGGGCCUGUGCUCUAAGAAGGGAGAGAGAGAGGAGAGGUUUUCUGAAAUUUUUUUUGUUUAAAACGGCGCCGUUUUGGAGGAGUUCAGAAAGCCUCAAAACGACAUCGUUUUAACAUAGAUCGGACCGACCCGACCCGAACCGCCAAGGAUCUGCGUGUUUCUGGAUAAAAGGGAUUAUUUGCGCUCUUGGUCCUUCCGCUUUUGAGGCUGUUUACGAUUGGGUCCUAUUUUGUUUUUAUUUUUCAAUUUUGCCACAAAAUUUCAUUUUUCUCUUGAUUUGGUCCUCAAUGAAGUUGUGCGUUUUGGAGGAGAAGGGAAAGUUUCCCUUCCAGUCCCUCUAUGUUAUUCGCGCAUUCAAAUCAAUCCCUCCCUUUUUAUUUAUUUCGAAUCCGCCCCAAAUUUUUGUCUUUUAGUUCGAUUUAGCCCUUAAAACUUGCUAUUUAUUUUUAAUUAAUUAAUAAUAUUAUUAUUAUUACUAUUGAUAUUAUUUAUAUAUUUCUACUUAUAUUUAUGUAACAAGUUUAAAGAUAUUUUAGUUUUCCCAUAUAUUUUUAUUUAUUUACUUAUAUUUUUUAUGAUUUUUAAAUUUUAGAUUAAUUCAUUAUUUUGUUAAUAAUAUUAUUAUUUAAUUAUAAUUAUUGUUUAUUUUAGCUACAAACUUUGAUGUAUAUAUACGUACAUUUUUAUUUGUUAUAAAUAUAUAUAUUUUUUAUGCCUCUUACAUAUACAUAUGUAUAUAUGCCCAUAUAGUUUAAUUCACAUGCAAAUAUAUAUGUAUAUAUAUACUUAUUUUUUAACUUAUAUACAUGUCUGUACAUAUUUUUAACUUUCAUAAAUAUAUGUGCAUGCUUGAAUAUAUACACAUAUCUUAUAAUUUUUAUAUAUAUAAAUAUAUAGAUUUUUACUUUUACAAUUUUAUUUUUGUGUUGUUAUUAUUGCUUUAUCUUAUAUUUAUUUUUGUGUUCAUCAUUAUUUUUAUGAAAUGUUGUCUAUUAUUUCAUGUAUAAUUGUUUUGUCAUCUUUUAUCUAUUUAUUUAUCAUUUUGUUGUGGUUAUUCGUGUUAUGUUUACAUCGUCGUAUUUAUUAUUUUGAUACCCAUAUUAACAUUGUGUUUUACGAUUUUUUUUUGAAUAAGCGAAAUCUCGUGUUUAGAUUCGAGAAGGUCGUACCCUAACUUACUGGGUUUCAAUUUUCAUAAUAAAUCUAAAUACACGAAUCUUUUCAAACUCAAGUUUUUAAACGAUCUCGGGAAUUAAGAAAAGAUCGUGUCCUAACUUACUGGGCAUGAUCCCUUUUCUAAACCCGAGAUAAUUAAAUGUCUUUUUAAAUAAGUAAACUCUGUGGCAUGUAUUCUCGUAUCAGGAAUUCGAUACGUUGUGUCCUAAUGCAUUGGAUAUGACAUGUCGAUUUCUCGAGAUGAAGAUUUUUCUAAAAAAUAAUAGAGGGAAUAUUUGGCAUUUGGAAAUAUGAGAAAACGUGCCCUAAUGUGCUGGGUUUCGAUUUUUCUCGUUCAACCAAAUAGCUAAAUAUCCUUUUUUAAAAAUUUCAAAAUAAGGCAAUGUUUUGCGUUUGGAAAUUCGAGAAAACGUGCCCUAAUGUGCUGGGUUUCGAUUUUUCUCGUUCAACCAAAUAGCUAAAUAUCCUUUUAAAAAAUUUCAAAAUAAGGCAAUGUUUUGCGUUUGGGAAUUCAAGAAAACGUUCCCUAAUGUGCUGGGUUUCGAUUUUUCUCGUUCAACCAAAUAGCUAAAUAUCCUUCCAAAAAUUUCAAAAUAAGGCAAUGUUUUGCGUUUAGAAAUUUGAGGAACGUGCCCUAAUAUGCUGGGUUUCAAUUUCUCGUUGAACCAAAUUGCCAAAUAUCCUCUUGAAUUUUAAUCCAUGCCACUCAAGUUUUUUUAAGGAUCGUAUUUUAAGUUUCUUUAAAGUUUCCAGUUUUUCAACACUAAGACAUUAAGUAAUCAACUAGGUACCAAUUUUGGGCGUAUCGAGGGUGCUAAUCCUUCCUCGUGCGUAACCGACUCCCGAACCCGUUCUUCUGAAUUUCAUGGACCAAACUUGUUGUUUUAAUAAAAUCAAAUCGUUUAUUAAAAACAACCACUUUUCGAGGUGAUCCGAUCACACCUCAUCAAAAAGGAUCGGUGGCGACUCCCGUUUUCGUUUUCAUUUUCCAAAACCCAAGACGACCCCGUUUUCAAUAAAAAAAAUAGGUGUCAACAGCUUGGCGACUCCACUAGGGACUUUAAAUAAGAGAGUCAAGCCACGAGUUGAUUAUUUCUUGUCUUUUUUUCGAAAGUUGAAAAUUUGAUUUAAAUAUAGGAUCCUCUCAUUGCAUUUCAUUUGUUUCGAGUUAUAGUUUUCAUCAUGUUUUGUAUUUUAAAUUUUUAUAUCUCUGCACAUUGCAUUGCAUGACCUUUGGUCACACCUUUUUGAGUGGGAGUGAGAUGCUACUCCUUCAUGAGGUUUUCACCUCCGUGCAGGAUAGCGGAUCACUUUCGGGAUACAUCUGUACCUAUGUCUUCGUGAGAUUUUCAUCUCCGUGCAUCCAUAAGGAAAUGUAUUCCCCUGAACUGAACUCGGUCCGUAUGAGCCUAUAAUGGGUGAGGAUCGAGGAAUCUGCUGGUUCAGGUACCUUUGCUUUAGAGCCGAACCUCAUGUAGUGAACCUAAGAGCCUACCCUAGGUAGAACCACUUCAAACCCCUAGUGGUCACCCGAAUAGGUGUUUUAUUUAUUAUUGCUUGCUUUUGCUUUGUACUAACCUGUUUUGUUUUUUGUUAUGAUUGCAUUGCAUUUUCAUCAUAAAAAGAGGUGUUGAUUCACGUUCGGUUGUUAAAUAGAAAGCUUGUCAUAAGGAAAUGAGUUUCUUGAUAAAGUGGAUAAUAAUACGGUUGUCCGAAUAUGGUCCAAGAAAACAUGAUAAGAAAAGGAUGAUAGUUUAAUGGAGGACUACACGACCAUUGCUCUAUUGCCUGAGAAUUCAAGAUGACAAAGAUUAUUUGAGAGCCGUUGAACUUUCUUAAAGAGAAGACAACGAGCGUCACGAGGAUGAGUGAUUAAUGAGUCCUGACCCGGAUCAAGCAAAAGGGAGAUAGAAGAGACGUCUUUUUGAAAAGUUCGUGAGAUUUAUCUUAACACGUGAAUGAAGAGGAUCGAAUGUCUCCGCCUAUGAGGGCAAGGCCGUAUAUAUAUACCCGCUUUAUGUAAAGAAAUUUGUUUUCUAGUAAAAUUCUAAUAAGAAUUGAACCAAUAAUCAAAAUCUCUUUUUGCAUUCAUGCAUUUGCAUUACAUAACAUCAUGUGCAUUAAGGACCAUCAAAAGACUCUAAUUGAAUAAAAUUAUUUCAGUUAACCUGGAAAACCAACACCCUUAAGGUACUCGGGCAAAAUCAAAGAACAUGGAUCAAAGAUUAGAAAAGCUUGAACAGCUCCAAAGAGAGAUGCAAGACCAAAUACAAGAGCGGCUGGAAAGAAUUCAGCAAGAUAUGACAGAAAAGAUGCGAGAGUCCCAGAAUGACAUGAUAGCACAGUUAACGCAGCUGUUGAGAGAAGGAAACGACAAGGGAAAGGACCCCGUAGUUAAUACUGAAAAGGGAAAUAAUGAUGAACACCUUUACCCUCCAGGCUUUACCCCUCCGCAUGUGCAUACUCAAGUUGAGAUGUACCCACACAAAUCAUCCGUUACACUCAGAUCCCAGUAGUUUCAGAUGCCAAUGAACUUUCAAAUCGGAGUAGGUCCUAACCCCAGAGAGAAUCCUACCAAUCCCGUAGUUCUUGAUCUCGAUGACAUAGCAGAAAUAGAGAAAGUAAAAGUGGAUCUGCCAAAACAAAUAGAAGACCGGUGUAAAUGGCUAGAGGAGAAGUUUAAAGCUAUGGAAAAUGUUGAUUACCACCGAGGAAUGGAUGCUAAAGAUUUGAGUUUGGUACCUAAUUUGGUCCUCCCUCCCAAAUUUAAAAUGUCGGAGUUUGAGAAGUAUAACGGGACAAGUUGUCCCGGAGCUCAUAUCACUAUGUUUUACCGAAGGAUGACCGGAUACAUCAACAAUGUUCAACUGUUGAUUCAAUGUUUUCAGGAUAGUUUGAUCGGGUCAGCGGCUAGAUGGUACAACCAAUUGAGUCGGGCCAACAUCCACUCAUGGAAUGAUUUGGCGCAAGAUUUUAUGAAGCAGUACAGCCAUGUGAUGGAUAUUACCCCUGAUAGAAUUACGUUACAAAACAUGGAGAAGAAACCGAGCGAGAGUUUCAAACAAUACGCAUAAAGAUGGAGGGAGGUUGCUAUCCAAGUUCAGCCGCCACUUCUAGAGAAAGAAAUGACGAUGCUCUUCAUCAACACAUUGAAGGCCCCGUUCAUCACCCGCAUGUUGGGAAGUGCUUCGAAGAGUUUUUCAGACAUAGUCAUGAGCGGUGAAAUGAUUGAAAGUACCGUGAGAAGUGGAAAGAUUGAUGCUGGAGAAAAUAAUAGAAGGUCAGACUUAAAGAAGAAAGAAAACGAGGUGAGCAAUGUGAAUACUUACAAAAAAUUGAUUGCACAGCCAAGAAAGGUGAUUGCAAGUCAGCAAGGUUCAUCUAGACAAGAACCUUGUGUGAAACAAGGUACUGAGAACCUCCAGUUUAUGCCAAUUCCGAUGACGUAUAAGGAGCUGUAUAAAAAGUUAUUCGAUGCGCACAUUGUUUUCCCUUUCUACUCAAAACCCCCACAGCCUCCGUACCCCAAAUGGCACGAUAUGAAUGCACAAUACGAAUAUCAUGCGAGAAAUACGGGGCAUUCCAUAAGAAAGUGCAUUGCCUUUAAAAAGGUGGUUGAAAGACUUAUCAGUAUUGUCAAACUUGAUGAUUCCUCUAGAGCAGAAAAUCCGCUACCCAGUCAUGACUAAUAAUGGAGUGAAUACAAUGCAUGAAGAAGUUGGGAAAUGUUUACAUAAAUGUUAUUUGUGAAAAAGACAACUGAAGAUGGACCUCAUUAGAUAUUCGCCCUUAUAAACUUAGGAGUGUUCUAAAUAAUUAGACUACAGAAUAGAUCCCUGUAGUAUUUAGAGCUUACUCAGAGUAAUAUUUAGAACACACUUGUUGCUUUCAGCCUAGAGGUAACAAGAACUCUUUUGUGAAAUAGGCUCAUGUCUGAACAUCAUUAUUUUAAUGGAAAUGCAUCUUUGCGAUCUUUUUGAACUAAUAUUCUUUCAUUUCUUAUGAAUGAUUAUUUUUAUUCUUUUAUUCUUUCUUCCAAAUCAUUAUGGCAAUCAUAAUCAUAUUGUACAUAACUUCAUAUAUUCUUUGUAUAUUCUUUUGUACCUACAAUAGGUCCCUAAAUAUCAACGACAUGAAUGACACUGUUACAAACUCAGAAUCUCUUUUUGAGCGAGACAUGUGUUUAGAGGGAUCUCACGACUUUGAAGAUGACAUAGAUUAUAGCUUGUCUCCAGACUUAUUAAGGAUGAUAGAACAAGAUGAAAAAAUAGAUCCUACCUUACAAAAGUCAGUGGAUAGUAAGCUUAGGAGAAGAGAAUUAGGUAAAGAUCCGAGUUUGCAUUAUCGCAGAGAUAAAACGAGACGUCAUUGAGUUACUCUAAGAAUUCAAAAAUGAUUUCACAUGAUCAAGAUUCGCCUCAGCUACUUAGACGUGUAAACGCUGUUGAAGCUAAAAAAUAUUAGAAGAAGUCUAUAAGGGUGUCUGAGGAAUACAUGCUAAUAGUUUUGCAAUAGCCAAGCAAAUCAUAAGAUUCGGGUACUACUGGUCCACCAUGGAAGAGGGUUGCAUUAGUUAUACCAAAUGCCAUUUAUGGAGUCAAGAUUUAUGUGGUUCCCUCAUCUCUUCAUGUUAUGACCUUCCCAUAGAUUUUCUCUAUGUGGGGCACGGAGGUGAUAGGGUCCAUCUCGUCAAAAGCUUUUAGCCAAUAUCAAUUCAUCUUUGUGGUCUUCGAUUACUUCACUAAAAGAGUGGAAAUAGCUUCAUAUACCAAUGUCACAAGGUCGAAGUCAUUAAAUUCCUUUCAAAAAAACCAGGUGUCGAUGAAAAGCAAAAAACAAAAAGACAAUGUCAAAAGUUUUUAGUCUGUUCAAAUAUCAGAUGCCGUAGGCAACCAAAAAAAAGAUCGUGAGAAAGAUGACCGAGACUUGUAAAUAUUGGUACAAGAAAGUUACCAUUCACCCUCUAUACUCAUCAAACGUCAGCUAGGACCUUUGCCGGGGCAACACCUGGCCCAUUGGUUUAAGGAAUGUUAAAAACUUCCCUUCAUGGUCAAAUGAUGUGAGCUUACGACAAAGAGAUUCGUCCUAGAGAAGGUGGAUGCCAAAUUGGAAAGGACCUUAUGUUGUAAAAAAGGCCUGUUCUGGAAUAGCACUGAUAUUAACCAAGAUGGAUGCCAAAGACUUGCCCAAUCUGGUGAAUUCAAAUUCAGUCAAGAAGUAUUUUACCUGAAAAUGAAGAAACCAAGGUAAAAACCCACAAAGGGUGUCUUGGGUCCUAAAAAAAAACUCUGCCAGGGCAAUGUCGUUCUCUUGGGCCUAUCGCGGUUUUGCCUAUUGAAGACGAGAUUCUUUCUCUCUGAGUUUUUGGAUCCAAUCUCAAUCAAAGAGGAAUGUUUAAAGUUAUCCAUCAUGGUCAAAUGCGCCAAAAGCAAACGAUGCGAGCUCAAAAAAAAAGUUCGUCUUAGAGAAUUCCAUAAGAAGGACCUGGUAUUGAAGAAGAUCCUUCCCAUACAAAAAGAACCUCAUGCCAAGCUGGGAAGGGAUAACAAGGACAUUCCUAAUCCUAUGAGUUUAGAGCCAAUCAAAAAUGUUUCAAAAAAACAUAAAAAUAAAAGAAAACAAAAAAAAAACAAAAAAAAUAGAAUAAGAAGAAGACGAAGAGAAAAGAAAAGAAAAAAAAUGAGAGGCCAAGGUGAAAACCCGCAAAGGGCGCCUUGAGACCAAAGGGGAUUUGAGUUGAAAACCCAAAAAGGGCGGCUCAAAUUUUGGAACAAAAUGGGGCACGAAGUGAUCAGAGCGACUCAAAUUUUGGAACAAAAUGGGGCACGAAGUGAUCAGAGCGACUCAAAUUUUGGAUCAAAUUGGGGUAUGAUGGUGAUCAGAACAGCUCAAAUUUUGAUCAGAUCGGGGCAUAUGAUGAUCUUGCCAUACCUAAAUCAACAAGAAAAGGUAGGCGACAUCUUGGAUCAUCGACAAAGUCCUGAAGAUCUCCUAAACACAUGUCAAACUCAGAAUGGUCUUUCAAAAAGUUUGUACAGAGAAGUUCAAGCUGCGAUAUCUGGGGCAUCGUCCUUAUACUAUUUAUAUUGAAUUUGUUAUUCUUGGAAUACUUCUUUCUUUUCCAAGAUACAUGUUCCAAUCAAUUCUUCUUUUUAUUCUUGUUAUUCUUGAUAACUUCGAGUUAUGCUCAGAACCAAUUUUUUUCUUAUCCAUUGUUAUGACCCUUUCUAUAAGCAUGUUGCAUGGGAAUAACGAUUAAUGAACUAAUAAAACUUUCACAAGGGAAGUUUUGCAUAUUACUCUAAAAGUUUCUAAAUAAUACAGGAACCUAAAACAAGACUAUUGUUUAGAACGUACCAAGUUUAAAGGAUGGAAAACUGAGAAGAAAGAGUCCAAAUUAAGACUUUCUCUUUGGAUUUUGUUGUCAAAAACAUUGAUUGAGCAAAAUGAUAAGAUGUCGUAUCAGUAAUAAGGCUUCAAUAAACAAGCAAGCAAUAACCACCAGGCAAUAGGAAGAGGUUUCCUUAGAGAAGAAAUUCCUCAUUUUUUGCAUAAACAUUUGGUAUGACACCUUAGGAAUGGGGUAAAAGACUAAAGAGCUCCACAUUCUGUAUCCUUGAAUUGCGAUAGGAGAGGAUUGAGAAAAGCCAUAUUUUUCUACCCUUGGGUUACAGUGGGAGAAUGAUGGUACAUUUUUUUACGUCCUAAUGGAUUGAACUUUGACGUUCACAAUAGGGGCAAUCAGAUUAAGUGUUUCAUUGGAUACACCAGCCGAGCAAGAAGGCGUUAUAGCACAUCGGAGAUAAAACCUUAAUAAGCUUUUGAGUAAUGAUAACCUAAGCAUUAAAAAAUCAUUUUCAUGACAUUUUGCAUUCAUGCAUACACAUUUAGCCAAGAUAUUUUGAUUCAUUUCGAUCAUGAUCACUAGGCAUAAAUAGGUUCAUACAGGUCAUGUUCCCCAAAGAACAGAUCAAUGAAGAUGGCAGAUCUUGUUUUUCUGAACCGAUAGUGAAGCAGAUCGAAGAAACCAUAGUUUUCAAUUUAAAAUAUUGAAGCCACAACGGCGAAUCUUAUUUCCUAGGCAAUGCAGCAGAACAGAUUGAAGUCACAACAGCAAAUCUUGCUUCCCCGAUAUUGCAAUUCAAAAGAUUGAAGCCACAACGGCGAAUCUUACUUCCCAGGCGAUGCAGCGGAACAGAUUGAAGCUACGACGGUGAAUCUCACUUCCCCGACAUCGUAAUUUAAAAUAUUGAAGCCACAACGGCGAAUCUUACUUCCCAGGCGAUGCAGCGGAACAGAUUGAAGCUACGAUGGCGAAUCUCACUUCCCCGACAUUGCAAUUCAAAAGAUUGAAGCCACAACGGUGAAUCUUACUUCCCAGGCGAUGCAGCAGAACAGAUUGAAGCUACGACGACGAAUCUCACUUCCCCGACAUUGCAAUUUAAAAGAUUGAAGCCACAACAACGAAUCUUACUUCCUCGGCGAACAGAUUGAAGAUAGUAAAUCUUAUCUCUCUGAAGUUGCAGUAGAGCAGAUUAAAGCUAUAAACCACAGAUCUUAUCUCUUUGAAGUUGCAGUAGAGUAGAUCACAUCAGACUUUAUUUUCUUAAAGAUGCAGUAAAACAAGUUGAAGAUACAAGUCUUAUCCCCCUAAAGUUACAGUGGAGCAGACUGAGCUACUAAUCCUAUCUCCUUGAAGUUACAGUGGAGUAGAUUAAAAUGAUGAAUCCUAAACCUCUAAAAUUACUGUAGGACAGAUUAAAUCUACCACAAUAAGACUUAUCUCACUGAGGUUUGGAGCAGACUAAAACCACGAACCUCGUCCCCUGAAGUUCCUGCGAAAAAAAUUGAAGCUACAAGUCAGAUCUCUCUGAAGUUGCAGCAGAAUGGAUUGAAGCAACAAGGCACAGUGGACUGGAGUGAAGCUACUUGAAGAGAAGCGUCCAGAACAAGUCAAGAAUCGAUGAAACCGAGCAAAUUUGGUCUUUCCUAGUCUUUGCUUCAUUCUCAUUACACGACAAUGAAGCAAAGAGGGGUAGCUGUACAGCCCAAAUUUUUGCACGAGCCCAUUACCAAAAUCAAAACCCAACCUAAACAAACCCAAAAUAACCCAAACUCAACCCACCUAAACACUGGCCCAAAACCCAAAGCCCAAAUUACAAACAAGCCCAAAUAAAGAAAAACCUAGCCCAAACCCAAAAACAAAAAAGAAAGAAACAAAGAAACCCUAGCCCCUAACCCUAGCCUCUGCCGCCGCACCCCACUUGCCCUGCCACCAUCUCUACAAGCCGCUGCACUGCCACCACCGCCACUGUCUCAUCGCCACCAACUCUCUCACUUGUGCCUGCAAACAAUAAAGAAAAAACAGCAGAGUAACAAAGAGGAGGCUUUAAAAAGUCGAAGCAAAUGUAAUAGGGGCGAAUUUCACUACUGUAUUUUAGGGGUUUUUUUGAAAAGAAAACAGAUUCAAUAAAAAUAAAAGAAGCAAAGAGGUGAUUUUUGUUUUUUUCUGCUCUUGAGUUCUUUUUCUUUUUCAUUUACUUACUUUUAUUUUUAUUUUUACUUUAUUUUUUGAGUUUUCUUUUAAUUUCAUUUUUCAAAAUAUCUAUAUAAACUAACAUUUGUUUUAUUAUUUUCUUUUAAAAAAAAGUCUACAAAUACAUAUACAAAAAAAAAGAAAUCUAACCUUUUGAAUUUUCCGACCACCGUGUAUGGUGGCCGGCGCGGCGGUGACGCGGCGGACCUUUCGCUGAAUUUUGGGCCUGUGCUCGGAGAAGGGAGAGAGAGAGGAGAGGUUUUCUAAAAUUUUUUUUGUUUAAAGAAGGGAAAAAUGAUUUUAAACGGCGCCGUUUUGGAGGAGUUCAGAAAGCCUCAAAACGACGUCGUUUUAACAUGGAUCGGACCGACCCGAACCGACAAGGAUCCGCGUGUUUCUGGAUAAAAGGGGUUAUUUGCGCUCCUGGUCCUUCUGCUUUUGAGGCUGUUUACGAUUGGGUCCUAUUUUGUUUUUAUUUUUCAAUUUUGCCACAAAAUUUCAUUUUUCUCUCGAUUUGGUCUUCAAUGAAGUUGUGCGUUUUGGAGGAGAAGGGAAAGUUUCCCUUCUAGUCCCUCUAUGUUAUUCGCGCAUUCAAAUCAAUCCCUCCCUUUUUAUUUAUUUCGAAUCCGCCCCAAAUUUUUGUCUUUUAGUUCGAUUUAGCCCUUUAAACUUGCUAUUUAUUUUUAAUUAAUUAAUAAUAUCAUUAUUGUUAUUACUAUUGAUAUUAUUUAUAUAUUUCGAUUUAUAUUUAUGUAACAAGUUUAAAGAUAUUUUGGUUUUCCCAUAUAUUUUUAUUUAUUUACUUAUAUUUUUUAUGAUUUUUAAAUUUUAUAUUAAUUCAUUAUUUUGUUAAUAAUAUUAUUAUUAUUUACUUAUAAUUAUUGUUUAUUUUAGCUACAAACUUUGAUGUAUAUAUACGUACAUUUUUUUAUUUGUUAUAAAUUUAUAUUUUUUUUAUGCCUCUCAUUUUUACGUACAUAUACAUAUGUAUAUAUGCCCAUAUAGUUUAAUUCACAUGCAAAUAUAUAUGUAUAUAUAUACUUAUUUUUUAACUUAUAUACAUGUACAUAUUUUUAACUUUCAUAAAUAUAUGUGCAUGCUUGAAUAUAUACACAUAUCUUAUAAUUUAUAUAUAUAUACAUAUAUAGAUUUUUACUUUUACAAUUUUAUUUUUGUGUUGUUAUUAUUGCUUUAUCUUAUAUUUAUUUAUGUGUUCAUCAUUAUUUUUAUGAAAUGUUGUCUAUUAUUUCAUGUAUAAUUGUUUUGUCAUCUUUUAUCUAUUUAUUUAUCAUUUUGUUGUGGUUAUUCGUGUUAUGUUUACAUCGUCGUAUUUAUUAUUUUGAUACCCAUAUUAACAUUGUGUUUUACGAUUUUUUUUGAAUAAGCGAAAUCUCGUGUUUAGAUUCGAGAAGGUCGUACCCUAACUUACUGGGUUUCGAUUUUCAUAAUAAAUCUAAAUACACGAAUCUUUUCAAACUCAAGUUUUUAAACGAUCUCGGGAAUUAAGAAAAGAUCGUGUCCUAACUUACUGGGCAUGAUCCCUUUUCUAAACCCGAGAUAAUUAAAUGUUUUUUAAAUAAGUAAACUGUGGCAUGUAUUCUCGUAUCAGGAAUUCGAUACGUUGUGUCCUAAUGCAUUGGAUAUGAUAUGUCGAUUUCUCGAGAUGAAGAUUUUUCUAAAAAAUAAUAGAGGGAAUAUUUUGCAUUUGGAAAUAUGAGAAAACGUGCCCUAAUGUGCUGGGUUUCGAUUUUUCUCGUUCAACCAAAUAGCUAAAUAUCCUUUUUAAAAAAUUUCAAAAUAAGGCAAUGUUUUGCGUUUGGAAAUUCGAGAAAACGUGCCCUAAUGUGUUGGGUUUCAAUUUUUCUCGUUCAACCAAAUAGCUAAAUACCCUUUUAAAAAAUUUCAAAAUAAGGCAAUGUUUUGCGUUUGGGAAUUCGAGAAAACGUGCCCUAAUGUGCUGGGUUUCGAUUUUUCUCGUUCAACCAAAUAGCUAAAUAUCCUUCCAAAAAUUUCAAAAUAAGGCAAUGCUUUGCGUUUGGAAAUUCGAGGAACGUGCCCUAAUGUGCUGGGUUUCGAUUUCUCGUUGAACCAAAUUGCCAAAUAUCCUCUUGAAUUUUAAUCCAUGCCACUCGAGUUUUAUUAAGGAUCGUAUUUUAAAUUUCUUUAAAGUUUUCAGUUUUUCGACACUAAGACAUUAAGUAAUCAACUAGGUACCAAUUUUGGGCGUAUCGAGGGUGCUAAUCCUUCCUCGUGCGUAACCGACUCCCGAACCCGUUCUUCUGAAUUUCGUGGACCAAACUUGUUGUUUUAAUAAAAUCAAAUCGUUUAUUAAAAACAAUCAUGGACUCAUAUCUUUGCUUUGAAAACAUAGAAAAGUCAUUUUGUAAUUUUUCUGGAAGUGAGAAGGAUUAAGAAAAUAAAUGAUUUACUUUUAGCCUUUUGGAUUAGAGCUCUCUGGUUUAUCCCCAAAAAAUGGCUUCCUUUUGCUUACUACGAUUGAUUUUGAUUGUCGUUUUCCCUUGUUUUGAUUUUCUGUGAGUUCCAUAGUUGAAGAAGGUCGUCAAAGGGUCUUAUUUUCUAUCAUCCUUUUGUUUCCUUGUUUGAAUUAGUUUUGGAAAACGAUGAUGAUAGAGGCAUGUAACGAUGCUAGGUCGAGGCUUGAGUGGCAACGACUUGAACAGAUUUUAGCGAUGGUGUUGGAGAAGAAACAAUAGAUGAAGAAGCAAAGAGAGAAGAGACGGUGAUGGGAUGAAAAUUUAAUUAUUUAAUUAAUAAAAAGUGAAAAUAAAUUAAAUAUGUAAUAUAAUUGGUCCUUUAAUACACGUGUCAUAAUUUGAUUGAUGAUAUUAAAAAUUUAAUGGUAUUAAUAUUAGUCAUGUACUUAAAAUGGGUAUGAUUUUCUAGUUUAAAUACCAAGUAGAAAAAAAUAUAUUAAGUACAAAUUGUAAAGUUUAAGGGCUGAAAACCCAUUUUCGGAUUGACCAAAGCGGUUUUCGGCAAACAUGGAAAAAUACGAAAAUUGUUUUCCUGAAUGAGAAAAAAAAACCAGAAAUCAUGCCAUACGGGGGCCGAUCAAAUAUAAUCAGCACAAAAAGGGAUAUACUACUACAGCAUAAAUGAUAAAACCAUGAAGCUAGAAAAAAAACUUGAAUUCGACUUAACUUACUCAGUCCAGCUAUUGAGCAAGUCAAAGUUAAAUAUCUUUAUACUUUAUUCCACUAACAUGCUAGCUUAAUCAAGCUUUUCUUUCUUUUUUCCCUUUUGGAACAAAGCUUUUUGUUUUCUAAUUAUGAAAAUUUUCAACAUAAAAAAGAAUCUACCUUGAAAUUGAGUAUGAAAAUGCUUAGUCAAGCACUAGCUUGAGAUAAAGUUCGAUUACACCUCCUUAAGCACAUCUAACACUAAAUUACCUAGGAAAUCUAGCAACUACGUUUAUUUCCUAUUCAGCUGUAUUGUACUGCCACUUUAAAUAUACUACAAGUUUUUUCUUCUUUUUUCUUUUCUUUUACUUACCUCCAUCUCCAUUCCGAAAUGGUUUCCGAGGCAUCCACCGCAGAGGGUUCAAAGCAUUUGUGUAUCUGUCUACGCAACACAACUUUUGUCUUAACCUGAAAUUGUCUGCUUAUGUGGUAAUGAUUGAUCUGUUAGCUAUGUAUUGUAAAGAAGAGCCAUGAAGGCAGAAGUACCUCCUUUUAAACAAAUAUGGUCAAACCUUUACAAACUCCAUGAUAUACAAACAUUUUACGGUUGUCUUGAAUUUGUAGAGAUAGAUAAACUCAAUUUUUCCCAGAGCAAACAAUGAUUCCCACUAAUGAAACAAAUCAAAUACAAGAUCAAGCACGAGAACAAGCCCCUCCAAAUGAAAGACAUUACCAGAAAAAGCCGAUAACAUAUAAGGGAAACUCAUAGAUUUAUCCUUUUAUCACUUCACUUCUUCAGAACACUGCAAAUGAAGAACAAUUAGGGGAGACUUCUCAAUGAUAAAAACAACAGAAAUAGGAGAACAAGUCAGUUAAUCCAUUAACAGCAUUUCCACAUAAAAUCAUUACUAAGAAAAAUCCAACAUCUAUCACCAACCAAAGAUAACUGAAGCACACAGUAUAGCAAGUUCCACUACAGUAAACUGUAUGAAUAUCGAGAAUACAGGACACAGUUUGUGGUUAGUAUUAAAAGGAAGCUUUUUUAAAUGAAGGCAUGAGAUAGAAUCUUACUUGUACAAAUAGGCAGCUAUUCCCAGAACUAUGCACAGCAAUACGAUAUCAAUACAGAAAUUUCGGCUGGACCUCAACUGGAACAAACCAAUAACUUAUGUUACAUCCAGCAAAGAAGUAAACAAAGAUGAAAUGCAUGGGAAUCAACACUUAAUGAAGUUAUAAUUGAUCACCUGUGUGACAGUAUCUUUAAGUCUAACAUUGGUAUUCUUAAGGUCAGCAGCUGCCUUGUCCACCUGCAAAUGUGUAUAGAAACAGAAUAUAUAUAUUGCAAUUUUGUAAUCUUUAAGCAGUUUCUACGAUGUACAACAAGACGAUGGUUAUAAUGUUCACCUUGGUGUCAAUUUCAUCCAUCAAAGGAACUUGCCUAUCUAGUUCCAGCAGAUACCAUAGCAUACAAUUAAGUAAAUGGCAUGAAUGUUACACUUACUCGAAAAAAAUACUUCAUAACAAAUAUUUGUAAUUAUAAAUGACGCUCAGGUCAGCUUUACCUCAUUCAUAUCAUGAGCCAUGUUCUUUAAAGUAUCCAAACCUUCUGAAAUAUAUCCAAACCUUGGUCCUGCAUGGAUGUCAAAAGCAAUAAAAGGUAAAUCAUAGCUAAAGAAAUGUGGUGUAUACAGGUAAAAGUCAAUCAAGAUUCCUUCCAAUAGAGGAAAAUGUUCAUAAAGAAUAGCUCCCAAACAAGUUUGACAUGCCUGCUUCAUUUUCCUCAUUUCAUACUCCUGCCUGAACUGACUUGACUGCUCAGAUUCUUGAAAGUAUUCGUUGUCAAAUCGCUCAUCUAUGACCAAUAUGAUUAUGUAAGUACAACGGAAAAAAUAAGAUCUUCCAGACAUAAAAGUUCCACAGAUCAUAAAGGAAUUACUGAUAAGCCAUGCAUUAUAAACUAUAAGAUUGAGAAUUUCUUGCUGCAAGCAGUCUGAUGGUAACAAAGAAUGAACAACAGUCUUGCAGAUAUGAGCAUAAGCUAAGCAACCUCCUUGCUUUAUUAUUUUUGAAGCUAUAAAAUAUGAAUUACAAUGGUUUUUAAUAUAUUAGAGAAAGCACUCAAAUGCUCACUCUCGCCACCUUUUAGUUGGGUUCCUACUCUUAUUUCUAUUUCUCCAUCUUUAUUUCCAAAUUUUUCUCUCUUAUCUUUGAAUCAAAUCUUGUUUUUGAUCCAUUUUUUUCCCAAUUUUCCCUCUCAUGUUUGCAUCAGCUAAUUGAAAGACAAAGCAAUGUUCUUCAAUCAUUAUGGAAGGUUCUACCAAAUAAAAACAAACCAUUCCACCCUACCCAACAACAGAAAGCAAAUGGAAAAAAUGAUGAUAACACAAACGGUGUGCAUUUUUAGUCAAAAUGGUAGAAAUAAAGAUUUAAAUCUAGACACUGGCAAGUUUAACAGGUCAGGAAACAGCUAAACAUGAAGUCUCCAUCCAUACAAUCUCAAUAAAUUUAACAAGAAAUUUCAAUGGAGUUAAGGAUCACCUGAAUCAAACUUAAUUGCAGUACGAGAAGCUGAAGGUGCUGAAGACAUCCAGCCCCCAGUUUGUUUAGUAGCAGCAGUUCCAUCAGGUAUAGCUUGAAUCCUGUCCGGCAAUGCAAGGACCAGAUCAUUACGAGUAGCCAUCUCUUCAGUUGAAAUCCCUUUAACCUGUAAAUGAAUCCAAACUCUAUCACAAUGGAAGUCCAAACUAGUCAAUUGUCCAAGUCCAAAAUAGCAUAUUCCAAAUACCUCUAAAUAUGUAAAAACAAAAUACAUUAUAGUAAAAAAAAAGGUCAAUCUGUUAGCUUGAACAACAUUAUGAAUGUAUGAAUAGUUAAACGAGCUCACAUUUACAAUAAAUUGUUAAACAAUUUGGGAAAUUGUAAAAGAGAAGGAAAAAAGUUAACCUUCUUAACAGCCAAUCUCUGCAGCGUAGGGACCUCCUCAAGCAAUCGAGCCUUGGUUCGACGAAUCUCAGCAUUGACUGCAACAGCAGAUGCCUUACUUUUCUCCUUGGAAGCAAGUUCCACUUUCUAAAUCAAAAAAAAUAACUCAAAUCGAAGGCAAUAAAACCCUAAUUAUUACUGAACAACUAUCAAUUAAGCAGAGGAAGACUGACACUCUAAAUCUCAAAUAGCAAGCUUAAACCUAACAAUCUCAACCAAGAGAAGAUGAAAGAAUUAGAUUAGAUCGGAGCUACCUCAAGAGCGGAUUCAAUGUCGGCUUCGACUGCGGCGUAAGCGCGAGCAAAAGCAUCACCGCCGGAGACAUUUUGGUCACGCUGCUUUUCGACGUCGUAUUUAUCGUACCUCUUGCAGAUCACAUCUACUCUUGUCAAUAUAUCGAUUACACUCAUUUUGUUUUUCUUUUGAGUUUCAAAUUCAAUCAAUGUAGCUGUUUGGAUGUGGGAAAAAAUUGAGAGAAUAAAGAGUUGGAAUUUCUUCGUUUCUGUUUGUUUCCCCUGUAAACGUCGUUCACCGAACUAACUCCAGAUUCAAAGAAUAAACAGUAUCAAUAAUUAAACAUUAGGAGUAAACUAGAGCUGCUCAUGGCCGGGCCGGGCCGGGUUUGGGUCUGGCCCAGAAAAAAUUUCAGCCCGGGUUCUAGGCCCGGGCUGGCCCGAAUUAUGGGCUUGAAAUUUUGUCUAGACCUGGCCCGGGAAAACAUUCAUAAGCCCGGAGUCCGGCCUGGCCCGACUCAUUUUUUUUAAUAAACACCAAAAUUUUAUUUUAAAAAUAAAAAAAUUUAAAAAGUAUUUUAAAAACACUUUAAAAAUAAAAAAGUAUUUUAAAAAUAUUUUAAAAUUAAAAAAUAAAAAUAAAAAGUAUUUUAAAAAUAUUUUAAAAUUAAAAAAUAAAAAAGUAUUUUUAAAAUAUUUUAAAAUUAAAAAAAUAAAAAAUAUUUUUUAUAUUCGGGUCUGGCCCAAGCCAAAAAAGUGGUGCCCGAGACCCGGCCCGUUUUCUAAACGGGCCUCGUUUUUUUGCCCAAGCCCAUAUUUCGAGCCUAUAUUUUUACCUGAACCCUCUCAUAUUUCGGGCCGGCCGUCGGGCCGAGCGGGUCAACCCGUUUUUCAUUUUUCACGACAGAGUAAUAUUUUUAAAAAAAAAUCUUGAUAUUAUGUAAAUUUAAGGUGAAAUCAAAGGGUAAAAAUAUCUUGAGAGGUCAGAUUAUAUUAUGCUUGAUUUUUUUAUUAAAGUUUUAUUUAUUUUUACAGUUAAAAAUAGUAUAUGAAUUUUUUUUUUUUUGAAUAAUCGACUGGGCUAUUAUUAAAAGCUUGAAAUAUAAAAGUUCAAGAACAAAAUCCCAGCAGUGCUGGGCUGGAUAAAAAAAAUAAACAAAAAUAAAACGUAGGCUACAAGCCCAAAUAAGUAAAAACAGAAAAUAAAGCCUAAAAAAACAUAAAUCAAAACGUCAUUUCCCAGUCAACUCAACCAGCCUGGCCUCCAUUAUUUUUCAUCUUUUCAUUUCCAAAGCACCAGGCUUUUCAGAUGAUAGCAUUAAAAAUGUCUGCUUUAGCUAUCUCUUGCCGUUUCAUUUCCAUUCCAUCAAAUCCUUUCAAUCAGGUUUUCGUGGCCAUCUUUCUCCUGAGUCCAGAUCUUCUCUCGUCUCUUCCACCAGGUAACUCCCUUUCCCUUUUCUUAGUGCCUCUUUCGCCAGGUCAUGCGCCUUACCAUUCUCUGUUCUUUGUAUGAAUCGAAAAACAAUGUUUUGGAAUCGAUUUUUGUUGUUCUGAAUAUCAAUCAUGAUCGCACUUAGAACCGAUUUAUCUUUGACCCCUACUUUGCACCUGUUGAUUAUUGUUUUCGAAUCCCCCAUUACCGUGACUGAGUUAAAGCCCAAUCUAAUGCCUAAUCUGGUUGCUUCUAAACAUGCCAAUGCUUCUGCUACAAACAGAGAGGAAAUGUUGGAGUGAAGAGUGGACUUAGAGACUACGAUUUCCCCAUUUUGACCCCUGGCUACCAUUCCUGAUGCUGAUUUGGAGUUGGUGUCGAAAGCUGCGUCAAACUGUAUGGACUUCCCUAGUACCUCUUCUCUGUGUUCGGAUCUACCAGUCGUGGUGGUAAUUUUUCUUUCUCGCACAACUUCAAGCUCUCCUAAGUAACUCUGUACUUUAAUAGUUAGAUCCCUUCCUGAUGAACUCUUCCUUUCAUGGAGCAUCUGAUUUCUCGAGCUCCAGAUAACCCAUAAGGUGCAACAAAAAAUACGGAUCUGCUCCUUUGUUCCUCUACUGAAUACCCAAGUGAGCCAUGACCAUGUAUUCUGAUCUGUAUGUUCUGUUACCCAUGCCAUAUUGAGACUAAUCCAUGCAUCCAUGCUUAUAGGACAUUGUCUGAACACAUGAAAGCUGUCUUCUUCUUCAGAACAACCACGUGGACACCUUGCAGUAGUGGUCACUCUCUUUUGUCUGAGGUUAGCAAGUGAAGGGAUGUAGUUCCAAGAUAUUCGCCAUACGAGAAUUAGGAUUUUUGUUGGUAACUGUAAACUCCAUAAUUUCCUGUAGAAAUCUUUGGUAUCGGUCUGUAAUAAAUAAUUACUAGGAUCCAAGCUAGCUUCUUGUAAUAGUUUGUAGGCAAUUUUAAUACGAGGUAUAUGUGAUACAUUAUGUGACUUUCAUCAGUUAUAUUAGUUUUUAAUAGAAAUGACUAAUUUACUCUUUGAGCAAAAUGUAAUUUGACUCUUAGGGUGCGUUUGGUUCGCUGUAUUGGAUUAGAGGUGUAUUGGAUUAGAGGUGUAUUGGGAUUAGAGGUGUAUUGGAUUAGUGGUGUAAUAGCUAAUCCACUGUUUGGUUGAAUGUAAUGGAAUAGAGGCGUAAUAGUAAUCUUGUGUUUGGUUGAAUGGAAUAGAGGUGUAAUAGCAUAAUGGAAAAAACUAAAAUGACUAGAAUACCCUUAGCAUAAAAUUAUUUUGGUAAAUGAUUAUUGUUAUUGUUAUUUAAAUUUUAAUAAGAUUAUUAUUAUCAGUAAUAAAUAAUUUAAUCAUAUUUUAACAUAAUUAUUAUUAAAUAUAUUUUAAUUAAAAUAUAUAAUUUAUAAUUUAUAAUAAAUUUUCACAUUAUAUAAUUAUACAAGUUUAGAUACAGAUGUAACAUAAAGUUUUAUGCAUGACUAUUUAUUUGGUGUGUUAAUAAUGAAGUUUUUUAAUUUCAUAUUGGGGUUAAUAAAUCAUUAAGUUUUCUUAAUUCAUAUGUUUUUUUUUAAAUAAAAAAAAAUCGAUAUAGCUUUGUUUGUGAAAUUGGACUGUAAGUGUACUAAAUAAUAAUAAGAUGCAAGUGGUGCAGAGUGAACGUAGAAGUUUUAUACGCGUAAAUUUGUUGAAUCGAAUAAAUCCCAAUAACAAUAGCCGUGAUUCAAAUAAACUCAGCUUGAAUUCAAAAUGAUUUUACCCAAAAAUUGAUUCUAACAAUUAAUCUUUUUAAGGAUGUCUACUUAAAAAGUGCAGACAUAAAAGUUGUUAUUUUGAUGAAUUUGGAGACGUUAAAUAUUCGUCUCGCGCGCACUUUUAGUUCGGUAUUGUGAUUUAGUUAAAAAUUUGAAAUUAUUACUCUUUUUUGGUAAAACAAAGAGUUGGAACAGAUGGUAAAUAGCAUAAUCAGACAACAAAGGUCAAUAAUCAUCCAACAUUUGAUUCCUAUCAUUCCAUUCUCAAGCUAAUUCGAAAAGAAGACGGUUCCUCAAGCUUGAAAGCUCUUUUCAGUCAACCUCCUAUUUCCUCUUGUCCGUUUAUUUACCUUGGAUUUUAACUUUAAGCGUCCAAUUAUACCUUCCUUCUGGGAGCGGUAUGGAUUUUGGCAUCCGCAAUUGCACAUCAAACAGUCCAAAUGUUUCCAAAGGUGUUGGAAGGUGCAGAUUUUCAGGAUCAAUUUGAACGCAAAGCUGCCUUCCAACCUGAAAUGGAAUAAAAGGAGGAGAUUAAUCGAGUGCGUAAAUGGAAAUAACAAAAUCAUAACAUUUCAAGUCCACAUCUUAAACGUUUUAUGAUUAAGCUAUGUCACUUGGACUUGAAGCGAGUGUUUGACAUGGGUUUAUUCAAUUUGCUCCAAGUUUACUCACAUAUUUGGAGGAUAUAACCAUGUACAUAUCUAAAUACGCGUCGAACAUAAAUACUUCAGAAAAAUAAGAGUCCGAAUAACAUAGCAUAUAACACAAGGAGAUUGUCUAUUGUAGUGACGUGAGAGAAACUAUUACUAUCAAUAAAUAUCAUGGCCAUACCUCAGCAACAAUUUCAUCUUUUGUCACAGGUGAGCGCAAUUCAAUUGGGUCAUCUUUGGUCGAUUGGGCACGAAACUUUUCAACAUUGAUAGAUCUCCUCAAUACCUAUAAAAUGCAAUACAAGUUACACACUCGUACCACAAAGAGCCUGACAUAAAUACAAUUACUGUUUUCAAGCUUCAACAAACUUUUGAAAAAGAUUCACCACUAACAAGUUGAAUCAAUUAUGACUAGUCUAGUGGCAACUUGUUGUAUGUGGGUUCAAGUGUUGGCAUGCUAUCUAGGGUUUGAACCUUGUGAAACCCCAUCCUCCUCCCACUUAGAAUGUAAUGUAAGCUUUGCUUGUACCAAAAAAGAAUUUAAACAAGUCUUAAUUUAAAAUUUGACACCAUUGUUAUCCCACAUAUGCCUAGUUCCACUAUUGUUAGCCUAACCAUAGAAGAGGCAGGUCCAAUGUUUCAGUCCCACACACCUUGACCUUGUUUCCCCAAACCCUUUAAAAACACACACAUACAAACAUUGUUGAGAGGCUGUUUUUUGUGUAUUUCCAUGUGUUGGGAGGAAGGCAGAUAAAGUAUCAGACAUUUAAACCAGAAAAAAACAUUUACGAAAUUAAGGGCUUCAUAGAUGGGAACUAACCAGCCGGCCAUUAAGUAGACGAUAUGCAGCCUUUUCAUAUACUUUGCUCUUAUCUUCCAUAUUCUUUGUAACUACUUGAACCUCUUCUUCCUUCGGUUGAUAAAUCUGAUGAGGAAGUAUACCACUGGUAAGUUAUCAUUUAACUGAAAAUGAAAAGCACAAUAUCCCACAUAUCAGAAGUGACUCCACCAAAUAAAGACUUUCAAAACAGUAACUUAAUUUGACAAAACUACAUAAGCAGAAUGUGCAUCUGAAAUAAGGAAUGGAUUUUUACUUCAUCAAUAUCUAAUAUCCAUACGCAACAUAUGAAUCCUCAAUAAGAGUGAGAGAGUGAGAGAGAACGCAAGAUUUAAUAUACUUGCAGUUGGAGACAUGUUUCCUCCUUAAGGCUGAAAUAGCAGAUAAUACAUGUCUAAGAAAAGGCAUUACUUAUAUCAUAACAAGCAAAAUCUAACCAAAAACCAACAGCAAUAUGAAAACACUGUUACUCAGACUCUUCAUUUUCCUAAAAAACCUGUGUCAGACACAUUCGGAUAUAAAUAUGUGUAUGAUCUUCUAAAUAUACAGAAAAACUUAGAAAAAACAAGUAUACUUGUGUCGAACACUUAAUUGUAUCUAGCACUCACCCCCUAUGUUAGAUGGACUAUUCAUUUCUGUAAUAUAUUUUUGUCCGAUACAUAUACAGACAUAGUAUAGAGAUAUACUCCUCCAAAUACAAGAAAAAAACCUUAAAAGCAACAUAUACUCAUAUCGGUCACAUUCACAUAUCCAAAUCCACUCCCAAGUCCAGCCAACAUAGCUUACCCCAUAAUCCGAGCAACAAACUGAAAACGUUCUACCUUUAUGUCAAGCUUGUUUUUCCUUGAACGUGUCAUGACAAAAGGUUCAUGAGAGACUUAGGUAAUGCAUACAGAUGUGUGUGUUUAAGGGAAAACAAAUUGAUGCAUAUUUGUUUGUAAAUUAACAAUACGAUUAUGAUUAAUAUCAACUGAAAAACUUCUUUUUAUAAACAAACAGCAUUGCAAGAACACAUGUUUCAAGCAUCAAACACAAACUAAAAGAGAGAAGAAAGCGACCUUACGCUGCUCCUUAAUGAGAUAAGCGAACUUAUCAAUAUUAGGAACAGUAAGCAAUUUCGGCAUCAGAUGAUUGCGAAAAUAACCAGGAGCGACUUUGACAGUCUCACCAACUUUGCCAAGUUUCUCAAUGCUCUAAAAAAUGGAAGCAAAAGCAAACGUGAAUGAUAUUUUGCAAUCUGAAACAACAAAAAAUUGAGAAAAGAAAAAGAUUAUUGGAUCGAAAUGACUCACCGUCGUAAGAAUCACAUCCAACUUUCUGUAUCUAAUUCCUUGACAAGCAUAGAACAGAGGUUGCAUCAAACGAUCAUGGCUUUGCUGGACAUUCGUUUCUUUGAUAAUUUACCGAAGGGCAUGUCUUCCAUACUGGAUAUAAGCCAUUAAUUUCCUAACUUUGUGGGGGGCUCUAAAAUAUAAAAGGAAUUUAACGGUGAGGGAAGAGGUUCAUGCACGGAAGACCUUUUGCCUAAAAUUUCACGACAGAAUAAUCAACGGAAGAAGUGGGAAAUGGGAGGAGAAAAUGAUUAGGACGGAAGAGGAGAGGGUCGGGUAGGGAGGGAGGGUAAAACAGGGAGAUGGGGAGGGAGGCCGGAAGUAAUAGCUAAUACAGCGAAAAGGGAAGGGAUUGGAAAACACGGGAAUUUGGGGAUUAGGGGCGUAACCGAUUACGCGCGUAAUACCUAUUACAGCGAACCAAACGCCGGAAUAGGGGCGUAAUGUAAUACGCACGUAAUCGGGGCGUAAUGGAUUGGGUAAUACGGCGAACCAAACACAGUGUUAGUAUAAUAUCUCUAUAGCACUUUUAUUAAAUCAAGAUUUUUUUUAUUUCAAUAAUAAUAAUUUCAAACUAAUACAACCAACUUUCUUUAUAAAAAAUCUCAUUUAUUUGUCAACAUUUUGUAUCUUAUAAAGAAAUAGUUAUACACCUAAGCUAAUAUAGUUCAUCCUCUCUAUAAUUGUCUCAUUUAUCUAUUAUAAAUUUAUAUCAUUUUGCACUAAGAACAAUACUGAUGCUAACUAAAUUAAUACUUAAUUGGCUUAUUUUCUUUUAUUUUACGUUACAAAAUUCUAUGAUUAACAAAUUAUAUUUUUAAUACUAUAUUUUUAUAUCGUUAAUGUUACAUUAUUGAUAUUCUCAGUUUAAAACCCACAACAAUAGGUUAGUAGUAGCAUAGAGCCUAUUUCAUUCCACAGUCCUCACGUGCUCAAUUAUUUCACAUUUUUUCCCAUGGUUAAGGAAAAAGAAAGCAUAUUUCACUACUUAUCAAGUCCAUAAAUAAAUUAUUUUAUUUUCCAAUAAAAUAAAUUAAAAGAAUAAAAAUAAAGAUUCCACUUAAACUUAAAAUGUCACACAUUCAACCACUGUCAAGUGUAACAGGUUAAAGCUUAAGUUUUGUAAAUCACAUUGCCUUAAGCAGAAACUUAACUUCGAAUUCGUUUAAGUCAGUCUACUCUAAAAAGAUGAAAAUUUGCAACGGAAAUUCUCGAAAGAUGAGAAUAAGGCACCGAAAUAAAGUGAAAACAAACUCUCAAGCGAAGAACCAAAAAGCAAACAAAAAAGUCACAAAAAAAAAAAAGAAAAACCAAGCACACCAAGUGUUUUUAUUACUUUUAAGAAUUACAACUAAGUGAUUACAAAUGAGGGGAAUACCUCUAUUUAUAGUUGAACUCCCCCAAAUCUAACAGUACAGUUUAAAUUACAUUAACGGUUGAAAUCAAAUCCUAUCUACAAGAAGAGAAUCCUAAGGGAUUUAAACUCUAUAUAAUCUUAUCCCUUAGGAUUAUAAAUAUUAAUCAUGAUAACUCUAGUUUUACUGGAGUGCUCCACUAGGCCACCAAGGCUUCAAGUAGAUGGGUUUCUUUAUAUGCUCCACGAAUUGGGCCAAUUCAAGUGGGUUAAUAGGAUGUUUCGUGUGCAUUCGUCAUGAGCUUCGAUUUGCGGCCAGUGACAUUCUCCCUCACUCAUUCUUGUGAUGCCUUUUUAGCGUCCUUGAAAUGACACCGGUCCAACUCAUCUCGAAAUUACCACGACGCCCUAACCAUUCUCUUAGUUGGGUUGUUUCGUCCCUUGAAACAUUUGCCUCGACUUAUGUCUCUGUCAUCAUCUAACUCAAACUGUUUCUCUUUUUUUGUACAUCUCUGACUGUAAAAGGCCAUCACCCUCUUGCUUGCAUCCAUUGUGACUUGUCUCGAUUGGGAUCCGUUUGAUCCUCACAAAUAAUAUUCAAAACACCCAUAUUGAACAUCAAGUUAACCUUGAUUUUUGCCGCCAAAUCUAGUUUGUAAGCCCCUCGAUUUAACUACUUUCAAACUCUAAAAGGGCCCUUUUGUUUUUGCCAAGCUAAUGAUAAGUCAUAAUGAAAAAACACUAGGAAAUUAAGUGUUUGAGAUGUACCUCGAUCAUAGCAUUUUUCUUGUUUUGACUACCCAGUUUGCAUCACCACUUUACCCACAAAGUUUGAUGCACAACCCACCACUCUCUUAAGAGGUAGCCCUAUUGAUAACCAAACAGGCUUCACAUCGGUUUGUCACACCUCUAGCAUUUCCAAAGGGGUCUCAUUAGCACUCUAAUUUACCAAGUCAACAUUCUCACCACUCAUGUCUUGGCUAGCUAGAUUGCUAACAAUAUCUUGGUUUCACCCUUAAUGUCUCGACUCAGCGGCACAACGCAUUGUUGUUGUCAAGUAUCCAAGAAGCAUAUGCAAUCAACAAAAAGAACCAAAAGAGCAUUAAUCUUGUCAAAAAAAAUUCAAGCUAAGAACAAAGUCGUAAUCAUCUAAGUGAAUUACCUGAAAGUCUUUCUCGUCUUUCCACUAACCAAUCUAUAGCUCAACACUUUGUACUACUCCCACAGUCGGUACCUCCUUAGAAUUAACAGUAUUAAUUCUCUUAGUCAUUUUACUAGCCGAGAGACCAAGUUUAUUCACGACUCUUUUUUGACAUGAACAAAUUAGAUACCCUUGUAUCAACAAGAGCACUUCUCAUUUGACCUGCAAUGUUGAUGUCAACAAAUAUCAACCCUUUUUGCUUGUGAUUUCUCUUUGCUUUUGCAGAAUUAAGUAUCAUUGAUCCAAGUCUUAAUAUCAUUUCCUCAUCAAGCUCCACUUCAUUUUCUUUAAUGAUUAUUGACAGCUUAGAUCGCUCUGGACAAUCUCACAUCUUAUGUGGAACACAAUAUAAAAAGCACUUUAUUAGCUCCUUCGAUUUGUUGUUGGGCUUCAACUUCCCAUUAUGUGGUUUCCCAUUAUAACUAUUGUCGUUUUUACCCUAUCCUUCUUCACCUCCCCCACCAUUUCCCUUCUCGUUGGGAGAAGGAUUACCUAGUAAUGUGAUAGAUGACGAUAAACCGAACAUUGUAAAUAUCCAUCCAUUAGAUGCAUGGGCUACUUGGAAGAUGAUACUAGCCAAUCAAAUGUUCGAUGAAUGGUAAGCAUCUAGAAAUUAGUUAGGUUUAAGGUAAAAAUAGUAAAUUUCAUGUAUCUAGUUUAUGAAACUUUGGUGGUGUUUGAAUUGUUUUUUGUAUUGUACUAGACUUGUUGAAUUAUAAGUUAUUUUCUUUUGAUUCAUCAUGUGUUAUAAUUUUAUAAAGUGUCGACCUUUUGAUUCAUAAUAUUAAACUUAAUUUUAAUUUGUGUUUUUUCUUAAGAUAAUUAUGUCAGGUUUUUCACAAUCAAGUGUUUCUUCCCAAAAUUCUAGAGGAACCAAAAGGAAAUGGGUUCUAGAAGAAGAUGUUGCGUUGGUUGUUUGUAUGAUCAACUUGCACAAUGUUAGAAUCUUUAAUACAGAUACGGGAUCCAAAGUCGGUUAUUUAAAUGAGCUGGAAAAAAUGUUAGAUAAAGUUUUACCCCAUGCUAUGUUGAAGGCUAAACCUAAUCUUGAAUCGAGGAUUAGGACAUUGAAAAGGGAUUGGGCAAUCGUUUAUGGCAUGCGUAGUGGAAAAAAUAAUAGCAGCUUUGGUUGGGAUAAGCAUAAGCAGCUAGUUGUUGCUAAAGAUGCUGUGUGGAACUCGUAUAUAAAUAUAAGAAUUAUUUCAAGUCUUUAUUAUCUUAUUGACCAAACUUAUAUCUAAUAUAGAUUCCUCAUUUUUUAUAGUCAUAAAGAAGCCGAUCAAUUCAAACACCGUAGUUUCCCUUAUUAUGAACAACUUACUGCCAUCUACACAAAAGAUCAAGCCACUAGGAAAGAUGCUCAAACAGCCGCUGAUAUUAUUGAAGAAAUAGAUGUUGAGGAUGUAGCUACUACAAAUACUCAUGAAGAAAGAAACGAUUUUCAUGGAUGUGAAGCUGAUGUUUCUUUGGAUGACAUGGAUUUUUCAGUUACACAAAUGCAACCACCUAGAAACCAAGGUGAUUCCACAUUUUCAAAGAAGAAUAAAAAAUUCUGAUGCAAGUGAUCAUAUUUUUUCUACUUCAUUUACUGAUGCUGCCACUUUAUUGAAGGAAAACAUACGGGCCGUUGGCCUUGAAAUCAGUAGGUGUAUUGCCUUCGAAGUGCUAAUUCAACAAAAGUAAAAAAUGACCAUUCAAGAAAGUGCUCUAAAAUUAUAUCAAACCUUAUGUGAAGUAGAAGGUUUAAUUGAGGAUGAGCACUAUCGCGCAUUGAGCAAAAUUUCAGACCAUCCAACGCAAAUGCUCAUUUUCUUUAGUUUACCUUUUUUUGUGCGAUUGGAAUGUGUCAGAAGAUUUCUUGCUGACCAUUAAAAAUCAUGAUUGUUUUUAUGAUAUUUUGGUAACUUUUUGUGUUUGUAAUAUUUGGAUGGUAUAAUGACAUGAUAGAAUGUCAUUACAAUGUUGUAACUUUUUAUGUUGUAAAAUUUAACAUAUGGAUUAUGACAUAUAAGCUAAUGAAACCAUGUAACUUUUUGUUAAUAUAUGAAUAUUAUGCUUGGAUGUGAAAUAUAAUUCUCAAACUAUUUAUUACUUCUAAUAUUUUUAUUUAUUUAUUUUAGAAUAAUUAAAUUAUUUGUUUCACUAAUGAUAUUCUAGUACAUUAAAUAUGUAUUGCAGUUUAAAAGUAAUAAAGUAGGUUAUAUAUUAUUUUUAUAAUAUUAUAUAUUAUGAUUUUUUAAUUCAUAUAAUAAUUAUAUUAAGGAUGUUAUUAAAUUAUAUAUUAUUUUAUUAAAUUGUAUUUAAUAAUAAUUAUGUUAAAAUAUGAUUAAAUUAUUUAUUAUUUAUUAAAAUAUAUUUAACAAUAAUUUUAUUAAAAUUUAAUAACAAUAACAAUAAUCAUCUACCUAAAAAAAUUCUAUUAAGGGUACUUUGGUCAUUUAAGCUUUUUUCCUUAUACCAUUACAACAUCUAUUUCAUUCAACUAAACACAAGAAUGUUAUUACAGCCCUAUUUUAUUCCAUUUCAUUCAACAAAACAAUUAAAUUACUGAUUACAGCUCUAUUUCAUUACAACUCUAUUCAAUUACAGCUCUAUUCCAUUAGAUUGAACCAAACUUACCCUUAAUGAUUAGUUCUACUUUCCUCGUCAAUGGAGUUUUCGGUGCUUGAAGAUGACACAGAAAUUUUUUUUCUCUUUCCUACUACUUUGUUCUUUUAGUUUAUGUUUUACCAUUAAAGGUUUUAAUUAUAAUUUUAAAAAAUUUCAUACUAUAAUUUAUUUUUUUCUUUAAUCAACCAUCCAUUACAAUUCCAUAUGUUCUAAAUGUAAUUUACAACCUUGAUUAAUUAUUAUUUUAGUCCUUUAGUAAUUAAAAUUUAUAGCAAUUAACUUUUAUCACUUUUACAAUUUAGUCCUUAUACCUUAAUGAGUCACCAAUUCGAUGAAAUUAUCUAUCCAAAAUUUAAUUCACCUAUCUAAUAACUCCGCAAAUAUUUAAUAAAAAUAUUUACGGGCUCAAUUUAUGAAAAUAAGAUCUCGAUACCUUAUUUUGCAACACCACUGACUUUAGGGUUGAUACACUUAUACCUUACUAACUAUCCAAUUAACAAAUUCGUCAUAUCAAAAUUCAAUAUAAUAUUAUAAUUGACUCAUUUAUAUUAAUUAAUAACAUUUAUGGGCUCAAUCAUUGAAAAAUAAAAUUCUGACACUACCGUUUCAAACACCACUAGCUUUUGAAUUGUUACAUGGAUGAUUUGGUCAGUUAAGAACUACUUGCUCAAGGGGAAUGGAUUGGGAGCAUUAACACAUGCUUGUCUAAAGACUCAAUAUCCAAGUGCUUGACCACAACCAUUUUUUUAAAGACUCGACAAUCAUCGGACAAUAAUUACGGGAUGAUAGAUAGUGGUACAAGCGGUGAGAUUGCCGCACCAACAUGAACCAUAAAAAAAUAUGUCAUUUUCGUAGAUUUUAUACUUAGAUCAUUUUCAUAAAUAAUCAAUUUAUUUAGGUUAAUUUUAGAAAAAAGCCAAAUUCAAAAUUUAAGGGAUAAGAGUGAAAUAAAGUUAAGAGACCUAAAAGAAAAAAUGCAAUUCCUUUUAGAUAGAGGAAAAGAAUUGUAUCCCUUGCUUACACGUUAAUAGUCCUUUUGUAAAGGAUUUUGGAAAAUGAAGUUAUACCUUGCAGUUUCGUCCAACAUGGGAAUUCAUCAAUUCAAUUUCGGGACUUGACCCAUCACAAGAAUUUUUGUUUCCACACUAAUUUGUUGGCAUCUUUUGGCUUAAAUUAGCUUAUUUAAUUUUAAUUCUAUUUAAAAUAUUUUUAGUAUAUUGAUAAGUGAUAAUUUUUUUACUUUUCAUAAUUAAGUGAUAACAUUUCAAAUUUAUUAAUAAUUGAGUGAGUAAUAAUAUAAUUAUAUGAUGAAUUAUAUUUUUUUAGUUUCGCAUUUCUAAUUGAUUUACAUUUUAUGUUUGCGUAAAAUAAUAAUUUGAAUGAUUCUUUUCAAAUUAAUUUAUAAAGAUAAUAAUGGUUUUAAUUAGUUUUGGUUACUUAAUUAUUUAAAAUUAGUUUUAUGAGUGAUAAAGUGACGUCAUGAUAAGUUGAUAAACGACAUCAUGACGUGACAACGUAUUCCCUAUUAAUUCAGGUUUCUUAUCCUAGUUAAAUUAUGUUAUAUUUUCCCAAUCAAACUCUAAUAACUCUAAGGAUAUUUUAAUCAGAUUAGCCCACAAAUUUUGGUCUAUAAAUGGAGUUUUUAGCAACCUUAGAGAAAUUGAUUUAAUAACAUAAUUAAGAGAGUUUUGUGGGAAUUUCGGGAGAAUUUUGUAUUUUGAGUUCGGGUUUGUUUUUUUGUUUCUCCAUCUUGUACUCCUCUUCGGUUAUUUGUCAUUUUUAGUGAAUGACUUUUUUCCUGUGAUUUUUUAUCCUAUUUAGAGAAGUUUUUCCCCUUAAAAUAUUUAUGUCUAAUUUUCUUUAUUCGUUCUUGUUCAUUGUUUAAUUCGGGUUUAUCCUAACAUUUAUUAAAUAAAAUCUGAAAUACAGUUUGGAAUAUAGUUCCAAAUCAUAGAAUGAUCAUAAGCAAUAGACGUUUUGGCAAGCAUAUGUGCUGCCUCUUUACUAGACCGACUAACCCAUUGAACUUUUAUGUCAUUCCUAUUCCGAAGAAUCUCCUUGCAAUCAGCUACAGUAGUGCCAUAUUCGGACCAAUCAGAGGAGUAGAUAGCAUAACAUAAAGCCUGUGCAUCUGUAAAUAGAACCCCCUUCAUUCGACAAGUUAGUAGAAGACCAUUGCUGAGCAAAGCUCAACGCCAAAGCCUCAGCCACUCGGUGUGAAAAGCCCCUCCAUAAGCGUCGUGCCAGCAUUCAAAAAAGCACCAGUGUUGCUGAAAGCCAUUAGUCCAACACCACACUUUCCUUCAUUCUCGAAAAUAGCCACGUCCACUCAGCUGCUCGAGUCAAGUCGGGCACUAGGUUGUCCCUCGGUCGCAUUGGCAUAUGCAUUGGUCGUCAUUCGCAUACCACCCAAAGAGGCUCUCACUUCUUGCCAUUCAUUUAAUGAGCCAUAAGCAUGAGACAAGAUCAAAGAAGGAGGUAUGUCCUUAUUGCUCCAUAUUAGUUGGUUCCUCGCCCACCAUAUACACCAACAUAUAAUGCAAAACUCCUCUAACAAAAUGUUCGACCCUUGAGUGACAAGAGCUUUAAAACAAUCAACAAAGUUCAUAUUGGAGAAUUCUCCCAGCUUACCCCAUAACUUUAGAACAAUGGAGCAAAGCAUGAGAUAAAUCCUCUUAAAAACCACAUCAAUGCUGACCCUCUUGUCUCUCAACCGAAUCUUAGACGGAGCUAUAUUCUUCAAAGCGCCCCAGUUAAACUCCUUGGCUUUUGGUAGGAUAUGAAGCUUCCAAAGAGAUUUCCAGUUCACCAUAUUCGAGCCAACCUCAUUCUCCUUCUUCAAGAAGUUUCCUACAUGAUACCCCCAUCAAAUCCGAGUACACUGAUGAUGUAGAUGAAUUUUAUUUUUAUAACAAAUAUUUCGAUUGAAAUGGUAAAAUUAAAAUAGUGAUGAUUAUUGGGUUUUGGGUUCAAACAUUGUUAACAAAAAACCCAUCACAACAUAUUUGUUAUUUUAUCAAAUGAUUGGGUAUUUGGUAAUUUCUUAAGACUUAAUUGAUGAAUGACACCAACUCGAUAAAUCAUUAUAUUAUUAACCUAUUAUAAGUAGCUAUGUUUGUAAGUAUUGCAUGCAUCCCAACAAAAAUUAGAAUAUAUCUUAUAAAUUCACUUUUUUACAUUGUUAGUGAAUUUUACAUAUUUGAUUCUUGACCUUAGCUCACUAAAAUUUUUAACCAAAAUUGAUACAAACAGGUGAAGAUAAUGGAUUUAGCUUUAAUUAAGUUACAAAAAAAAUUAAAAAUUUUAAUAAAUAAACAAACAUGUUUCCUUCUUUUAUAAUUUUUAAAUAUUUUAGUUCUUUUUAAAUUUAAUGGUUUUUAUUUUAUUUUAUUUACAUUCAAAUCGUGUUUUAUAUUUAAUCAAUUAAUUCUUUUAAUUUUUAGGCAGGUAAUUUUUUUCUUUUUCAAUUUCAAUUUUUUUAAAUUUUAAUCAAAUUUCAGAAUUUGAUAAUACAUGGUGGUUAUAAUUUUUCAAAAUUUAAUUUUUUUUACUAUUUUAUUUUCUAAAUUUUUAAUGGUUGAUUUUAGUUUUUUUUUUCAAUUUGUGUUUAUGAUUUUUAUCAGUUUUUUUUUAUUUUUAAUUAUUAAUUUAAGCAUUUUAAAACUUUAUUUAUUUAUUGUUAUAUUUUUUCCGUUAUAUAGUUUCAAUGUUUUCCCCUAAAAUUUUAAUUAUUUUAAUUAAAUUUAAAUUAAAUUAGAGAUAUAUUAUAUAUGAUUGAGUAUAGAAUAAUAUUUGUAUGUCUUCAAAAAUUGAUAAUAUGACAUUAAUUUAUUUGUGCCUAAAAACUAUAUAUUUUUAAAAUUAUGCUAAUGUAAGCUAUCCCCUAACUUAUUUGAGUUCUUUUAAAAAAAUUUUAAUAUUAAAUAUGAUAUAAAUGCUUUUCUUUUGUUGCACUACAUAUUUUAUCUUCAUCAUUUUAUUUAUUUUAUAUUAAAAUAUUUAUAUUCUUUUAAAAAAUCGGUACCAUUAUAAUUAAUUGUCAUGUAAUAAAAUAUCCGUAUGUAUUUUAUUUACUUUCAAAUCCUAUUAUAUAAUUAAAAUAUUAAAAAUAUCUUUGAUGCAAUGUCGGUGCAUAUAUUUUAUACAGCAACAGUGAAUAAUAAUAUAACACGUCAUCAUUAAAUAAAAUAAAAAUAAUAGACUUAUAAAUAAAUUCUAAUAACUUCAUUUAAAUAUAAUUAAAUAAUAAAUAAUUAUAAAUAAAUGUUAAAAUUUUAUACUCUAAACUUCUAAACUUAAUAUUCUAAAUCCAAAAUUCAUUAAUAUCUAUUUAUAAUAGUUAAGGUUAAUAUUUAAUUAUGUUUAAGUGCAUCAAAUAUUAUUCUUUAAAAAAUAAAGUAUCCAUUAUAAUAAUUAAGUGAAAAACAUUUAUUCAAGUAAAUAAUUGAAGAAAAAUAAUGAAAUAUGCAUAAUUGGAGCUAAAAAAUUGGUUAGUGGAGUUGGGUGAGGAGGUGGGGAUAAGGAAACGAGAAGAUUCGAGAAUGAAUUAGCAAGUUGCGUAGGCCAAUCUUAGAAACACCACCGUGUGGCUAACGUAACUGCACGCCGACUCAUCUGACCGCAAUUUUCUCGUUUCCUCCAGACCUUCCAACCUAAGAAAAUCCACACCCUCUCUUCUAUAUAAGCAUCGCCUCACCCCUUCUCUCUCCGUCCAACGCAAACCGAUUCAAGCUCUUCUCAAAUCUUUUUUCAAUCAACUCUCUCCAAAGAUGCAGAUCUUCGUCAAAACCCUUACCGGCAAGACCAUCACCCUCGAGGUUGAGAGUUCUGACACCAUCGACAAUGUGAAGUCUAAAAUUCAAGACAAGGAAGGCAUCCCACCAGACCAGCAGCGUCUCAUCUUCGCCGGAAAACAGCUCGAGGACGGCCGUACCUUGGCCGAUUACAACAUCCAGAAGGAAUCUACCCUCCACCUUGUCCUCCGUCUUCGUGGGGGUAUGCAGAUCUUCGUCAAAACCUUAACCGGCAAGACCAUCACCCUCGAAGUCGAGAGCUCCGACACCAUCGAUAAUGUGAAGUCUAAAAUUCAAGACAAGGAAGGCAUCCCACCAGACCAGCAGCGUCUUAUCUUCGCCGGAAAACAGCUCGAGGACGGCCGUACCUUGGCCGAUUACAACAUCCAGAAGGAAUCUACCCUCCACCUUGUCCUCCGUCUUCGUGGGGGUAUGCAGAUCUUCGUCAAAACCUUAACCGGCAAGACCAUCACCCUCGAAGUCGAGAGCUCCGACACCAUCGAUAAUGUGAAGUCUAAAAUUCAAGACAAGGAAGGCAUCCCACCAGACCAGCAGCGUCUUAUCUUCGCCGGAAAACAGCUCGAGGACGGCCGUACCUUGGCCGAUUACAACAUCCAGAAGGAAUCUACCCUCCACCUUGUCCUCCGUCUUCGUGGGGGUAUGCAGAUCUUCGUCAAAACCUUAACCGGCAAGACCAUCACCCUCGAAGUCGAGAGCUCCGACACCAUCGAUAAUGUGAAGUCUAAAAUUCAAGACAAGGAAGGCAUCCCACCAGACCAGCAGCGUCUUAUCUUCGCCGGAAAACAGCUCGAGGACGGCCGUACCUUGGCCGAUUACAACAUCCAGAAGGAAUCCACCCUCCACCUUGUCUUACGUCUUCGUGGGGGUAUGCAGAUCUUCGUCAAAACUUUAACCGGCAAGACCAUCACCCUCGAAGUCGAGAGCUCUGACACCAUCGAUAAUGUAAAGUCUAAAAUUCAAGACAAGGAAGGCAUCCCACCAGACCAGCAGCGUCUCAUCUUCGCCGGCAAACAGCUCGAAGAUGGCCGUACCCUGGCCGAUUAUAAUAUCGAGAAGGAAGCCACCCUCCACCUCGUCCUCCGUCUUCGCGGGGGAAUGCAGAUCUUCGUGAAAACCUUGACCGGCAAGACCAUCACCUUGGAGGUGGAGAGUUCGGACACCAUCGACAAUGUAAAGGCGAAGAUUCAGGACAAGGAAGGGAUCCCGCCAGACCAACAACGUUUGAUCUUUGCAGGGAAGCAGCUUGAGGAUGGGAGGACCUUGGCUGAUUAUAACAUCCAGAAGGAAUCGACCCUUCACCUUGUUUUGAGGCUUCGUGGAGGCAUGCAGAUUUUCGUUAAGACAUUGACUGGGAAAACAAUCACAUUGGAGGUGGAAAGUUCGGAUACAAUUGACAAUGUGAAGGCAAAGAUUCAGGACAAGGAAGGUAUCCCCCCAGAUCAGCAAAGGCUCAUCUUUGCUGGCAAGCAAUUGGAGGAUGGGAGGACUUUAGCUGAUUAUAACAUUCAGAAAGAGUCCACCCUUCACCUUGUUCUUCGUCUCCGUGGUGGGCAGUGAGAAGUUAAUUCUUCUUCUGUCUUUGUUCUAGCUUAAGAUGGUCACAAAUAAGCCUUUAGGAAAGUGCCUAUUUUCUUAUCUCUUAAUGUAACAUGUUAAUCUAAGUAAACCUUCUGUUUGGAAUAAAAGUUUGGUGAUUUCGUAUCUGCUAAUUUGUUGCUGAAUCAAAUCUUUUCAAUGCAAUGAUCACUGUUGAAAUGGGUAAUUUGUGAUGCUUAAUGUGUUGUAAAUCAGAAAAAAAAUCAGUGUUGACACGGCAAAGAACAACAUGAUUGGGCUGCCAGCAUUAGAUGAAAUGUUACUUGAUAGUUUUUUAUGUCUUGCAAAGCAUAAAAAAGGAUCACAGCAAUGAAGAUUUAGAAACAAAAGUAAAACUUAUCAUCUCAUAUUUAAGUAGCUCUUAAGCAUAUUUGCUACUUGUUUUAUCAACUUUGAUCUUGAAAACAAGCCCUAGACUUGUUCAAAAACAUGAUUCGAACACUGAAAAAAGGAUGUGUCAUGAAAUUUUCAUAUAUCUGUACAUAAGCUCUGCAACAAAGACAGAGGCAGGUUCUCUGAAAAAUCUAAACACAAUUUUUAUAAUGUUGUACAGAUGGAGUUGGAGAAAUGAGAAGUUCUAUCACGUUGCCAAUGCACAGCUGAUUAAGUUUUAUGGAAAGACUAAAGUACUUUCAUGGUGUCUAUUUUAGGCUAAUAUUUCUACCCAUAUCAACUUUGUUUCAUUGGAAAUGCCUACUCCUACUCUAGACACACAAAGAACAUACAUGUUUUUCUUUUCUGAGACUACCCAUUAACCUUUCUCUCAUUGAAGGAUAGAUUUCUCACCUACAACAGUCUCAAUUUCAAAUCGUAAGUCCUAUCCAACAUACUGAUUUAAAAUCCAAUUUCUUGACUUUAUGGGCAUCAUGAAAACUACUGAUAAAAAGCAAAAAGAAAAAGCUACUAACUUUUGGAGUAGUUUGGAAAGUCAAUGAGUCCAUGAAAAGCCAUAGGCCUAAAAGCUCACUAUCAUUUUGGGCUAACUUCCAAGGUACAGUAGAAAUUGCUUACUCUAAACGGCCAUAAAUUCCGAUAUCUUGAGAAAAGAUAAAGAAAUAGGGGCAUUCUGAGACUUGAACUCGGGACCUCUCGCACCCUAAGCGAGAAUCAUACCACUAGACCAAAUGCCCUAAUUGGCUAUUUAUUCAUGAUAAAAUUUUAUUCAAAUAUUAAACUUUAGAGAAAAAGAAUAAAUCUUAAUGAAGGGAAAGGUUCCAAUCAUGUGUUUUGUUUGGAUAAAUCUCAAAAUCAAACAUGACAUUUUGAUUGUAGUUUAAAUAUAUACAUGAAACUUUAAUUUUGAUUCAAUUAAAACACAUUUAAAGAAAUAAACACAUAAAUUUAUUUUUUUAUUGGAUAAAUAUAAUUAUUUGUGUAUGCAAUAUAUAAACAUAAAAUGAUGAUAUUAUAUUAAUAAUUAUGUUAAUAAUUUAUAAAAAUUGGAUCAAAUCAAAAUUUCAUAUAUAAAAUCGAAAUUCAUCUAUAAAAUUACAUAUUAAAUCAAUAUUAAAAUAAUUUACGUUAAUUAUUUGUGUGUGUACAGAAGAUAUAAUCUUCAAGCUAACAUAAAGCGGAUAUUGCAAUGUUUAAAGAGACGUUUGUGAGUCGUGAGUUAUGAGUUGCUGGAUUAUUUCGGUUCACUGUCCAUGAUUUGUCCUGACUGGAGCUUCAAUUAGAAAGCAGAUUAUAUUUGACAAUGGGCGAUUACGAGAGUUGAUACCACCUGCUUGUCCCGGGUUGGUUCAGAGUCCCCCUUGGUGGUCCACUAUUAUGACAUAGAGAAUCAACGUGACUGCAACAAAUAGUAUCCACAUCAUGUAUAUGGGUCUCUUGUGAAAAGAUGUGGAGUUGGAUGAAUCCAUGGCCAUCACCACAUCUUCCACUGCCCAAAGGUUCCACCACUUCUAUAUUCCAAUGCUUUUCCUUAUUCUUUCAACACCAUACAACCCCCACGCUGAUGCUGAUAAAUAACCCUCUCUCCCUCUAUGUAUCCCCCCCCCCCUCCCCCUUUUUUCUCAAUGGCUAAUAACCUCUGUUUAUGUCUCGUAGGAGCCAUGGAUCGUCUCUGGUUUCAACAGAUUAUUCUUUUCCCAGACCCCUUUUCACCAUAUUUCCCCCUCGAACCAAAGCAGCCCCUCUCAGAAUCUACCACUACAAGCUCAUCAUCUUCAAGCCUCUCUUUAUCAUCUGUUGCAGACCAAGAAAAACCAGCGCUGGUAAACAGUAAUAAUAAUAAUAAUAAUAAAAGAAUGAAAAAGAACUACGCUCAUCAAGUUCAACACUCUUGAAAUAUGUUUCUUAUUUUUUGUUUCAUUUUUGCUGUUGUUUUUCAUGGUGAUCAAAUUCUUAGGAUGAUCCUAAAAAAGAGGAAAAACAAUUGAAGAAAAGAUCAAGAAGAGGGAAUCUUAGUCGUUCACAUUCUCCAUCUCAAUCGACUCAUAAACAUCAGAGGAUUAACCAUCAAUGCAAACUGCAAAAAUCCACGAGUUGUAGGAGCUUGAAAGACUUGGAACUGGAAGAAGUAAAAGGGUUCAUGGAUCUUGGAUUUGUAUUCACAAAAGAGCACUUGAACGCCAGGAUGAUUAGUGUUAUCCCCGGCUUGCUCAGACUUGGAUUUUCCAGAACUAAAAGGAUCCAUAAUGAAGUCAAUGUUGAUGCUGACCAACUAUCUAAAGACGAUGAUAUUGAACAAGAAGAGAAGAGAGGUGUUAUAAGACCAUAUUUAUCAGAAGCUUGGCUGAUUAAAAGACCCGAUUCUCCUUUGCUGAAUCUAAGAGUACCAAGGGUCUCUGCUGCUGCUGAUAUGAAGAAACAUCUCAAGUUUUGGGCUAGAACUGUUGCAUAUGUAGUUCAACAAGAUUCAUAAAAUAAGAGAGCAGAUCCCAACUUCGAACCUAAAUCUACCAAACAACUAGGUCUAUAGCUAGCUGCAACUGUAAAAAGAGGAGUUUGUAAUAAAAAAAAGUCAUAAAAGAUAGUGUACUCUAAAUAAAAGAUGAGCCAAAAGCUCUUUUUGUCACCAUUUUUAACUACCAGUAGUGGCUAGGAUAAAUGGAAAAAACUUUAAAAAGGAUCUUUUUCUUUUGUUAUAUUAAGUCAUCCAAAUUGCUGAAAAGAUAAGGCAAACCAAAAAAGGAAGAUGAUCACGAUGGUCCUACCAUGUUCCGGGUUGAGAAAGAAUCAAAAACAGUAAAAAUAGGAAACAUGGCUUUUAACAUCCGCCAAGAGCUAGCUCCAUUUCUACUGUUCUAUCCCAAGUUUUGUCUGCAUUUGAUGUUGAGAGAAUCCUUCAUGCCCAUGCAUAUAUGGCCAUGGUAUUCCUGUGAGGUUUAACAUAUCAAAUCAUGGGGGAAUGGUUUUUUCUUUCAUCAUUAUUAUUUGUCCUGCAUUCUUAAAUCUUACUUUGCCAUGUUCUUCAUUAUCAUUUUAUACUUUUUGCUCCACCAGCUUUAAACAUGUAGCCCCAUCCCAUCCCAUGCUACCUAAGAAAACAAUUUGAGCGCUCUAUUGACUGCAAAUCAUGGUAUGGGGAUGUUUUUGUUUUUGGUCAGUUUGGUCGACUACUUGCAUUUAUGGACUUGGGACUUCUUGUUUGUGUCUCAUAAACAUAUUACCUUUUUUUCCUAUGAUAUCAUAUUAUUAUCAUCAUCAAUUUGAUUCAAGUUUUUGGUAUAAUAUUGGUUUCAUGUUCAAAAUCACAUGAUUUUGUCUGUCGUUUGCAUUUUUGCAAAAAAAAUUAUUGGGUAUGGACAGAUAUUGGGUCACGGUGCAUUUUAUAGAUAUUAAAUUUAUGUUAGAAAAUUAAUUAUUUGAUAAAUUAAUAAAAUUAGAUGAUUAAUAUAAUUAUAUUGUUUGUUAAAAAUAAAUAUCCAUCUUUUUUAAGGUUUGCUUUAGGGUUUUCUUUUCUUUGAAUUUUUUUAUAUAUUUUACAAACUAAAUCAUCUUGGUAGCUUAAGAAAUUUCAUUUUAGGAGGUCAGCACUUUCAUGUCUCAUCCCUCUAGUUUUGGGUUCUUUCUUUUUUUUCUCUUGUAAUUUAUUAAAAUUAUUUUUAAUAAAUGAGUAUUAUUGCUCUUUUGUUAUUGUUGCGUAUGUAUAAAUCUCAUGCAUCUUCAAUGAAUCACAUUAAAUUACCUCAUUAAUGAAUAAAAUAAUACAAUAUUUGACAGAUUAUAAAUAAAUGCUGAUAAGAUUAAUUAAUUAUAAUUUUUAUUUCCUCAAGUCUUCCCUGUAUCUCUAAACAUGGUUUUGAGAUUUGGGAUUUUUUUGGGUUGAAUUUAGAAUCAUUUCAUUGAUUUUCAAUGAAAUAAUUCUAAAUUGAGAAAAAAAAUCUCAAAAAUUAUAACUCAAUUUGGAAAAAUUUUGCCAUACAGUGGAAAGAAAUAGAGAAAGUAAAAAUUAUAAUUAAAUCAAUAAUUAUUUAUAAGUCCUCAAAUAUUUUAUUAUUUUGUUCAUUGUGAGGUGGUUCAAUAAUGGUGCAUAAGAUUUAUACAAAUAUUUUUAUUUUUAAAAUUUUUAAUAAUUAUAUUAAAUUUAUUUUCUAAAUUAGAUGAUUUAGGGUUUGUUAUGUAGCCUGUGAAAUGAUAUGAAAGCAAUUUAGAUUUUUUAUUGCAAACUUUACUGCGUGUUCUUAAUCAACAACAUAUAUAUGGUCUCAAUCAAAAUGCGGUGAUAAGUAGCUAACUGUAUAGUGUAUGCCUAUUUUAUUCUAACAUUUUUUAAAAAUAUAUAUAUUAAAUAAAAAAUUAAAAGAUUAUGAAACACAUUUAAAAUAUUGUAAGCAGCAAUUUCUUAAAAAAUUAAAAUUUUCAGUAAUUUUAUUAAAAAAAUUUCAAUAAUUUAUCAAAGGCACCCCAAAUUAUAUAUUUUUAGGUUAUAUUAUUAUUAAAAGUCCAUAAUGGCGAACAAUAACGUCAUCCAACACCAACCAAUGAAUAACAUUAAUGUAGUCUAAACCAAAAUCAAAAGAGCAAACACUAUCUAAAAAUCAAUGGGCUGGGUUGUGAGCAACUUCAUUGCCAUAACAAAAAACAACAAACAUCAAAACUAACACAAAAUCCACAAGCCUCCUCAGAGAUUUGACCAUAUAAAGAUGAGUCCAAAAUUCGACUAUUAAACCUAAAAAUAAAAGCCUCUCAAUAGUAAGUUGAUGAAAACCAAAAUCUCUCAUAAAAAUUAGAAGUAGCAAAACUUGAUUUCUCCUACCUUUUCUGGUUACUCCUUUUUAUUUUCAUCAAUUAUUUUAAUUUGUUUUUCAAAUAAUCUCUUAAACUAUUUUAUAAAAUUUAUAUUUAUUUGAGAUUAAAACUGUUAAGGUAGGUCUGCUAUAUGACACGCUUAUGUCUGUUUGUGUAACACGACUUUUUUAGGACUCUUAGUCGUGAAUACAUUUUUUAGGGUUUUCUUUCAAUUUUUGUUGAUUUCUGAACUGGUUCUGCUAUUUUGGGUCGCUUUGUUUGCUUGGGUAUUUUUCAAAUGGAGAAUGAAAUGGCUGGAUUACGUAUUAGGGAAGAGGAAGAUGAAGUGUUGCAGGUUGAGGGGGUUUUAGAGGAUCAAAAGUCAAUGUAUGAUCUAUGUCUGGUUGGUUGUUUUGUUACUGCAAGUGUUGUGCAUUUCCCUGUUAUGUGCAACACCCUAGAGAAUUUAUGACACCUAUUAGGAGGCAUUAAGAUCUCAGAUCUAGGUGCAAAACGGUUCCUAUUUAGAUUUUUUCACCGAGUUGACAUUGAAAGAGUUAUUAAGGGAGCACAUUGGACUUUUAACAAUCAUUUCUUAGUAUUUCAUCGGUUACGGGAGAAUGAGGAUCCUUUGAAUGUGCCAUUGAUUUAUACAUACUUUUGGGUUCAAAUUCAUGGAUUGCCACCAAGGUUUUUCUCUGAAACUGUUACGAAACAAUUGGGGAAUUUUAUUGAUUUUUUUUAAGAGUAGACUCCAAACAGGUUAGUGGGGGUUUCAUUCAAUUUAUGCGAAUUAGGGUGAGAGUGGAUAUAAGAUCUCCAUUGAAACGCAGAAAGAAAAUCAAAGUAUCAUCUUAGAAUAACAUAUAUGUUCGGUUUCAGUAUUAGAAGCUUACACUAUUUUACUUUCUGUAUGGUUGCCUAGGUCAUAGUGAUAGCUUUUGCCUAAUCAAGCUACGAAUGGAAGUGGAUGAAUCGGAAACAGGAUGGGAUAUCUCGUUAUGUGCGUUGGGGAGAAGAGUUGUCCUAAUGGAAAGUAUUUGGUUGCAUAAGGGGAACGAGGGGGUUUCUGGAGAGAAUUUUCUAACAAUUGGCCGGGGGGAAAGGAAUGUCAAAGACUUCUUGCUAGCAAGACCGAUGAGGCGGGUUAAUCCAGUGUUGGGAAUAAAUCUGAAAAGGGCUGGUACGGGGGGAAAAGGGGAUUAAUUAGGUUUUGUACUGGUAUGAAGUAGGAUCAAAUGAUUCACGAUUUGUAGGAUGGCUCGAUUGAGGAUUUUGAGGGGAAGAAAAGGCAAAGAAUUGGGGGUUUCUGAAGUUUUAGAUUUUGCAGAGAAAGGUAAUGAGCAAUUAUUGGCUUAUUAGAAUGAGUUAUCAGUGACCACCAAGGGGUAGGUCAGUCGAUAGUAAUGAAGAUCAAGUGUUGAAAUAUUAGUAGGUUGGAGGGCUCACAGACUAUGAGAAGACUUAGUAUAUUCUUAGAAUCUACAAUCCCCAAAUUGUCUUCUUUAUGGAGAUUAAAUUAGAUUCAAAUAGAAUGCAAAAUGGUACACAAGAAUGGUGGAUUUGUUCAUAGUAUUGAGGUGGCGGUAGAAGGUACUAGGGUAGGGCUUAGUUUGGGUUGGAAAUUUGAGGUUGAUAUAGAAUUGAGAAGUUUUCCGAAAAAUCAUAUUGAUGUGAAAAUUCGGAGGGGAUGUUGAUGGGGAUAAAUGGAGGAUGAUAUGUGGUUCCAUUUAGGGAUGUGGGAUCUUCUACGGAGUUUAGGUCGGGAUAAUACUUUGUAUUGGUUAGUGUGUGAAGAUUUUAAUGAGAUAUUUUAUUCUUUUUUAAAAAAAGGGGAACUCUUCGAGAUGAGGGUGGUGUAGAAGAUUUUUGAAAUAUGUUACAUGAUUUCUAAUUAGAGGAUUUGGGGUACGAAUGACCUUGGUUUACUUGGGAAUGUGGGAAUUUUGUAUAGAAUAAUAUUAGAGAACGGUUGGAUAGGGGGCUGCGAAUGCAUCUUGGUAGGAGCGAUUCUCUACUUUUUUUCGAAAAAUUUACCUCACUCGUUCUUCAAUUAUUGCCCGUUAUUGAUAAAUACAAUGCAGAGAAUCUAAAGGCAACAGGUGGAGAGGUUUCACUUUGAGAGCUGUUAGUUGUUGGAGGACUCGUUCGAAGUGAUGAUUAAUCGCUUAUGGAAAAAUGAUAUAAAGAGUGUUCCCCAGCAGUUAGCAUCCCUGUGUAGAUGUCUAAAUAAGUGGGCAGUUCAAUUGAAAUUAAGAAAGGAUGCGAAUGAGGGGGUUGUGAAAUCGACUGGUGGAUCCUAAUGAGGGUGAUAGAGAUUAGGAGAAUCUCUUUGAUCUUUUAGGCACUAAAUUGGAAACAAACCUAGAAAUAGACAGAAAAGAACUAUAUUGAAAGUAGAAAGCACGAGUGAAUUGGUUGAAGCUAGAGGACAAGAAUACAAGGUUUUUUUCACAGAUUUACGUGGCAAAAAAGGAUGACAAAUAGAAUUAGGGGCUUAAUAGGGGUUGAUGCACAAACUAUUUCGGAUAGAGAUAAUUUGUUUUCCAUUACAAAUGACUAUUUCAUGUAAUUGUUUUCAUCGUAAUGAAGGGGGAAUUCGAAUCAUAUUUUAGAAGGGGUGGAAACAUGCAUUAUUGGUGAGAAAAAAUGUUUGCUUAGAUGCUAGAUAUGAGAGAAAUGAAGUAUUUGUUUCUUUGCGAACUAUGGCGCCAACAAAAGUGUCGGGACCGGAUGGCUUACCAGAUCUGUUUUAUUAUAAUUAUCGACACAUUAUGGGAUAAGAUGUUGGGGAUUAUUACCUUAAGGUUCUAAACAAAGGUAAAUUACUUGUUGACAUUAAUAAAGCAAAUAUAGUCCUUAUUCCCAAAACUGUUAAUCCAUCAGUAUGCAAUAGUUCUGUCCUAUUAGUUUAUGUUUCCUCUCGUAUAAGAUUAUUUCAAAAAUAGUGGUGGAUAGAUUCCAAAAAGUAUUGAAUGUGUGUAUAGAUGAAGCGUAGAGCGCCUUUGUUCCGGGAAGGCUAAUUACAGAUAAUAUUCUUCUUGCUUAUGAAAUUCUCAACGUAUAUAAAUGGAAAAGGUUGGGUAAAAGAGGUCAUUUCGCUCUUAAAUUGGAUAUGAGUAAAACUUAUGAUAGAGUGGAGUGGAAUUUUUAGAGAGUAUGAUGUUGAAAAUAGGUUUAUCAAGGAGAUGGGUGGAUUUUAUUGUACAUUGUAUUAGUACGGUGUCUUACUCUGUGAUUCUGAACAGGGAGUUAGAAAAUGAAUUUUCUCUUGGAAUAGGGCUUAGGCAGGGGGAUCCCCUUAGCCCUUACUUGUUUCUAAUUUGCAGUAAGGGAUUGUCUUCCCUUAUACGAAUGACAAUUUGGAAGAAUUUGGUUAGGGGAGCAAAAAUUAGUAGAAAGGAUCCAAAAAUUUCACAUUUACUGUUUGCGAAUGAUUGUUUCCUUUUUGGAAAGGCAACAGAAAAUAGAGCUAUAAUUUUGAAAUAGAUAUUGGUUGAAUAUGAGAAUACGUCGGACAAAUGUGUUAAUUUUGAUAAAUUUUUUGUUUAUUUUAGUGUAAAUGUUGAAGAGUAGAAUAGUGGAGAUAUUGUUGGAUGUCUUGGUGUUCAUUCCUAUACUAACUCAAAGCGGUAUUUGGGUUUACAAAACAUGGUGUCGGAAUAAAAGAUGGGCUUUCCAGGUUUUGAAGGAUCUAUUAAGAAGCCGUAUUAUGAGUUAGUGUGUUAGACCUUUGUCAUAGGGGGUAAGGAGAUUUUUAUUAAAAGUGUUUUGCAAGUCAUUCCUACAUUUUCAAUGUCAUGUUUUUUUGUUACCAAACUCAUUUUGCUUGGAGCUAAAACGAAUUAUAAGCAGAUUUUGGUGGCAAAAGCAUGAGGGAAGAAAGGGCAUUCAUUGGUAUGAGUGGUCGAAGUUGUGUAAGCUAAGAGAAGAUGGGUGGCUUGGGUUUCAGAAAUUUGGCGAAAUUUAAUAUUGUGAUACUUGCAAAACAAGGGUGGUGUUUGAUUAAAUAUCUGAAUUCACUUUUAGCGCGAUUGCUUAAAGGAAAGUAUUAUUCAACUACUGAUUUUAUGAGUGCAGAUCUAGGCACUUAGCCAUUAUAUACCUGGAAGAGCAUUUGUGCUGCUAAGGGAAUACUUCAAACGGGAUUGGGUGAUGGCAAGUGGGUUCUGGGAACAAUAUUAGAAUUUGGAAGGAUGUUUAGGUUCCAAGGUUGCCUAAGAGGAAAAUACAACCAUGUAGAGGGAACUCAUCAGCUUGGUUAUUGUCUAAGUUGAUUAAUCAUCAGGAAAGACAGUGGGAUGAGCAUAAACUCACAGUGAAUUUGGGUGAGGAAAUUGUUGAAAGGGUCUAAUGUAUUCUUAUUAUUGGGAAUCCGCAAGAGGACAUGAUGGGGUGGGGGAGGAGCAGUCAGGCAAUUUUUCAGUAAGAAGUGGCUAUAAGAUCUUAAUUUAGAGUGCUGUGGCCGCUGGUAGAAGUGAUACUUAUACAAAUUUUUAUAAAAGACUCUGGUAGAUAAAUUAAUAGAGAAAAUAAAAAUUACAGUAUAGAUAAUUUUUAAAAAUUACAUCCCUAACUAUUACAAUUUGUACAAUAAGAGGCUACGAAGUUUAGCAAUGUGCCCAAAAUGUACAAGAGAUGUCGAAACUUCUGAGCAUAUAUUUAGCGACUGUCUGUCUGUAGCAGAAAUAUAGAGAAAGUUAUAUCUUGAAUGGCCUGAUAAUAUUGCAAAUAGUUCUUUACAGGAUUGGCUUAAUUAUAUUGUUUCCUCAUUCUCUACUACUACAUGCAGAGCAGUGGACAACGAUCUGUGUGAGCGAUAGCUGGGGAAAAUUGAAAGAAAUGGUGGAAAUGCUUCUCUGAUGGUAUCGCAAGGAAUUUGAAGAGGGAUCUAAAGGGAGGAGGAUAUUGAAGGCUGGUGGUUUUUAUUAGCCGUGGUGAUAGGUUGUUAGAUUCUUUGAAGAUUGAUGAUCUUGGGGGGCUCGAUUUGAUAUCAGGGGGCUAAAUCUUUCGUCUCGCAAUCCAUGCGACCUUAGGCAAUUGUUCGCUCCAAACUCGCCUAAGUCAGCCUUUACUCCCAAAAGUGAGGAUUCCUUUAGAAUUCCUUUAAGGCACCAAUUUGUAUAGCGGAAGCGAUUGUGCCAAAAAAAGCUACAGAUGAACAAUAGAAAGCCAAAGAAAGAAUGCACACAAAGUGUUUGAGUAAAUGCUUAAAGAAUUCUAUUACUCUUAAGAAUUCAACAUACAAUAGAUGAUAUACAAAUGAAAGAGAGGCUCUCUAUUUAUAGUUGAGCUCCCCCAAUACCAAUGGUCAAGAUCAAAUUACAUCGACGGACGAGAUUAGCCUAUCCCUUAAUUUUAGGGAUUUACAAGAUUACAUUAUAUUAAAUCAAAUAUAUAAGAUAUGAUUCCCCUUCUUAUUAAAAAUAGCCUAAGUUGUCAUAUCUUCAUUAUUGGGCCAACCAGGUUUCAAUCUGACAGGCUUCUCCAACAGUUUUUUGAAUCGGGACAAUUCUCGUGGGCUAAAUGUUCCCCAUCUAAUCGAUAAACCUCUAUGGGGCACAUUUUGUGCCAUGGUCACGAGCUUUGUACUUUGGCCCAUGACAUUCUUCCCCACCCACUUUCAUAACGCCCUCGUUGUAACUUCUGAAUGACACUAACUUGAUUCACGUUAGAACUUUCUCGUUACCUUAGCUUCUUCCCGACUUGUCUUGUAAUUAAGUUGUCCCUUCCUUCGAAACCUUUACCCUAGCUUCCGUCGCCUCUUAACUUAAAUCGUUGUACUCGUUGGUACAUCUCAUUGGCAAGAAGUCUUCACUCUAACUUGCCCCAAUUUUGACUUGUUGCCAUUGGAAUCCCCAGGAUUCUCACAUCUUGGUUUCGUACCGCCCACAGUCCCUCAGCCUCAUUACUUAAGAACUUUGAAAGAGCUCCUACGACCUUGCCAAGCCAACAAGUUGGAAUUCAAAACACUAUCAGAGUGUUUGCAAUGUACUUUACUUGCAGCAUUUACUCGUUUUGACUACUUUUGCAUUACUUCUUUACCCUCGAAGUCCAGUACACAAUCCACCUUCCCCAAAGGUGACGGCUCUACAGUCGACUCCACAGGUCUCAUAUUAGUCUCAUGCUCCACUAACUUUUUCGAAGGGUUUUCGUAGUAUUCCAUUCUAUCGAGUUAAUAUUUCUCCCAUACAAAAUAUCUUUGACUAGUUGGAUUGACGACAACACCUUGGUCCUAACCUUCAAAUCCCGAUACACUGGCACAACAAUAUUUGAUAAUGGACCAGUAACAAUAUGAAUUUGGUCGGCUCAUGGAAACAGAACUGUCUAAAUCCUAUCAAAAAAGUUUAAGCCAAGUACAUAAUCGUAAUCAUCUAAUUGGAUUACCUCAAAGUCUUCUUUGCCCUUCCAUUUACCGAUUUGUAGCUCCACAUUACGAAUUACUCCCACAAUUAGGGCCUCCUCAGAAUUUACUAUCUUGAUCUUCUUAUUCGAUUUCUUAAUCGACAGGCCAAGCUUGUUAACAGCCUUUUUCGAUAUGAACAAGUCCGAUGCUCUUGUAUCAAUAAGAGCACUCCGCUUCUGACUUGCAAUGUUUAUGUCCACAAACAUCAACCCUUCUUCACCAUUCCUUUUCUUAGGAAUAAGCACCAUCGAAUUUACCCUCAAUGUUUUUCCCUCAAUAAGCUUCGCAUCUUCCUUCAGCUCAUAUUUCUUUUUGAUCGCCGAAAUUAUCGAUUUCUUUAGACAUUUUCGUGCCAUGUGUGGUCCUUGACAAAAGAAGUAUUUUAUUAUCUUCCCCUUGUCCCUUGGGUUGUUGGAUCCCUUCUUCGUAUCUCGUGGUUUUUGAUUACCACUUGUGCUAUCUAUACUGUUGCCGUCAUCAAUAUGUCCCUCUUCAUCUUUCUCAUGGUUUCUCUCACCAUUGCUCUUUCCAUUAGGCUUAGACGACUCGAACUUGUCUUUCGUUGGAUCAAGCUCAAAAAAGGAAUCAGCUUCGACCAUGGCUACAGUAAGUUCGACGAUUUAUUACCUACGCAACUCAUGAUUUGCCCACAGCUUUAAUCCAUCCUCAAACCAAUAGAACGCUUCUUUCUCGCUCAAGUAAAAAAUUUAAAGCAUUAACUCACUAAAUGCCCGAACAUACUCCUAAAUAGUGCCUUGUUACGUGAGAUAACGUAACUUAGCCCGAGCCUCCUUCUUGGUAUACUGUGGGUAAAACCACUUCUUUAACUCUCUUUGGAACUCCUCCCAAGUCCCAAUUACGUUCCCACCAUGUUUCUUAUUUAUGGACUUACAACUCCACCACAAGAGAGCCACAUUAGUGAAAUAGAUUGAAGUAGUGUUUACCUUAAUGGCAUCAUCCUCGAUGCCCAUCGCUCGGAAGUAUUGCUCCAUUUCCUAGAAGAAGUCCACAUCCCUUGCGGACCUUACACCCUUGAACUUAUCUGGUUGCUUCAGCCUUGAAGACAACAUCCCAUUACUCAAAGUAGCUUUGUAAAUCAUGAGCUCCCCUUGAGCUCUUCAAUUUUCUUUUUUAUGGCUAACAUCAUAUCCUCAAGAUUCUCAUCCCUCUAUGCCAACUUUUUCGUAGUGGAAUUGAUUAAUUCAUUCAUCUUUUCUGCAUUGGCACUGAGAGAAUCCAACACAAAAUCUUUGAGUUGCUCUUCUAUUGAGUCAAACCCAUCUGUGCGUCCCUCGACCAACUCAAGCAUCUCUUUCAUGUUGCCUACAGACUCCUUGAGAUUAACCACUCGAUUUUCCAGAGCUAUCAGCAUGUCCCUCAAGUGACUUACUUUUCUAGCCUUUCCACAGGUCUGCAUUGGCUCAUUCUGAUCAACAACUUCUUUCGACAUCCCAAUGGUGCCUUCAAACUAAUAGCUCUGAUACCACUUGUCACAGGGCUAGAUCUUUUUUCUCACAAUCCGUGCGGCCUUAGGCGAUCCGCUUGCUCCAAACUCGCCUAAGUUAGCCUUCACUCCCAAAAGUGAGGAUUCCUUUAGAAUUUCUCUAAGACACCAAUUUGUAUAGUAGAAGCGAUUGUGCCAAAAGAAGCUACAGAUAAACAAUAGAAAGCCAAAGAAAGAAUGCACACAAAGUGUUUGAGUAAAUACUCAAAGAAUUCUAUUACUCUUAAAAAUUCAACAUACAAUGGAUGAUAUACAAAUGAGGGGGAGGCUCUCUAUUUUAUAGUUGUGCUCCCCCAAAACCGACAGUCAAGUUCAAAUUACAUCGACGAACGAGAUUAGUCUAUCCCUUGAUUUUAGGGAUUUACAAGAUUACACCAUAUCAAAUCAAAUCUACAAUAUAUGAUUCCCCUACUUACUAAAAAUAGCCUAAGUUGUCAUAUCUUCAUUAUCGAGCCAACCAGGCUUCAAUCUGACAGGCUUCUCCAAUAGUUCUUUGAAUCAGGCAAAUUCUCGUGGGCUAAAUGUUCCCGAUCUAAUCGAUAGACCUCUAUAGGGCGCAUCUUGUGCCAUGGUCACUGGCUUUGCACUUUGGCCCGUGACACUAAAGGGAGGAGGAUAUUGGCUGGUGGGUUUUACUAGCCGUGGUGAUAGGUUGCUGGAUUCUUUAAAGAUCGACGAUCUUGAGGGGCUCAAUUUGAGAUCAAAGAGGACGGAACGGUAUAAUUUUUUUCUUAGAAUUAGAGGUUACAGUUUGGUUUUCUAUGGAAAGGAAGAGUGGGUAUGGCUUUGGAAACACUAGAUUUUUUGAAUGCUUUGCUAAGUGGAAACCAACUCAAAAGUUGCAUUACUAUUUAUUUUAUUUGUUUAAUUUAGAUUUUUCUAUUGGGUUUUGAUUUCUUUUGACUAUAUGUUUUUUGUUUAGUUCAGUUUAUUAUUAUUAAUAAAAUAACUCAGAUUCCCUUUAAAAAAAAGCGGUUGAAGUAACAAUGAAAUAAUUAUUUUUAUUAUUUAAAAAUAUUUUUGGUAAUCAUGAUUUUUAUGUAGUAGUGGUUAAACCUUUUUCUAGAUAUACUUUUAGCAUAGGUUUAAACCAUAUUACUCCCAUCUCCACCCUUAAUAUAGUAUAAAUAUUUUUUAUUUAAAUAAUUAAUAACUUAAUUUGAAGAAAAUCUCAAAUAAAAAAAAUUAAAUUAGUUUUAAAAAGAAAAAAGAACAAAUUUGUAGUUUUGAAAAUUAACUCUAGAUAGAUUUUCUCAAUUCCCAAGUAUUUUUUAUUUAAUAUUUUUUAAUUUUAAAAAUAAAUUAGUUAGAGGUAAAUUAAUUUAGAAAGUAUUCAAUUAAAUAAUAGAUUACAAAUUAUAUUGAGUUAUUUCUAAGGGAUAAAUAUCAAAACUAUACAUGAACUUUGAUCUAAUGUGUAAUGUUGUACAUGAACUUUGAUUUUGUUCAAUUUUAUACAUGAAAUUUUAAUUUGAUUCAAUUUUUACAAACAACUAACAAUAUUAUCGAAUUAGCACCAUUUUACAUUGAUAUAUUGUAUACACAAACAAUUAUAUUAAUACAAUAUGAAAAUAAAUGUAUGUUUUUAUUUAUUUAAAUGUGUACAAUUGAAUCAAAAUCAAAGUUUCAUGUAUACAUAUGAACCACAAUUCAAGUUUCAUGUGUAUAAUAUCUGUCGAAACCAUUUUUUUUAAAUAUGAAAAAUGGGUAUCGAUUUUGAAAAUGGAAAUGGGAGUCACCACCGAUCCUUUAUUGAGGUGUGAUCGGCUCACCUUGAAAAUGAUUUUGGUCUGCGAAAUUUGAGAAAACAGGUUCAGGAGUCGGUUACGCACGAGGAAGGGUUAGCACCCUCGUAACGUCCAAAAUUGUUACCGAAUUGAUUGUUAACGUCUUAAUGUCGGGAUUUUGAAAAUAUUUUUAAAAUACGACCUUUUUAUUUUGAAGUUAAAUUUGAUUUUUAAAACUAUGCAUUUUGAGAAGGAUAUCUGAUUAUCUGGGCCAAAAGAUAAUAUCAAAACCCAGUAAGUUAGGGUUCGAUUUCACCAAAUUCCCAAAUACCGAACAUUGCCUUUAUUUUUUAAAAUUCACGUCUCGAGAAAAUAAUAUGUCAUAUCUAAUACGUUAGGACACAACGUGCCGAAUUCCCGAGAAUGAGUUUUUAUUUGAAAUUUGCGAAUUCAUUGCAAAAUGAAUACUUGGCUUUCUAAAUUCAUCAAAAAAGAAUCGCAAUCCAGUAAGUUAGGACACAAUCUUCCUCGAGGAUCAUGAAUGCCAAAUAUUUCGAAAAUUUAUAAAAUACGAUGAUUUUAAUGUUUUGGCGAAACCAAAAUAUAUAUUUUUAAAAGGUAUGUUAAAAAAUUAAUGUACAAUAUGAAAUGAAUACUUUGAUUUAAAAUGUAUAUGUAUAUAGGUAUGUAUGUAAGUUAAAAAGAAAUAUAAGAAAGACAUAAGUAUGUAUAUAUGCAUAUAAAUAUAAAAAGGUUAUAAGAAUAUACAUAUAUAUAUAUGUGAAGUAUAAAGUAUAAAAUAUAAAUAAUAUACGAGUAUGUGUAUAUAUAUCAAAAAGCCUAUAUAUAUAUUAAUAUAUAAAAAAAACAUAUGUAUGCAUAUGCACUAUAAAAUACACAAACUAUAUAUGCAAAAAGGGGAUGUAUUGUAAAAAUAUAAAGAAUAUACAUACAUAUUUAUGAAAAUAACGUAUAUGUAUAUAAAUGUAUAGAUAUGUAUAUAAAUUAUAAGAUAUGAAAAAUAUAAAUGUAUAUAUAUAUAUGUAUAGCGUAUAUUUAAAUUAUAAGAUAUGCAAAGUAUGGAAGCAUGUAUUUGACUAAAUCUAAAAUUACAAAAGUGUAAAUAAUAAUAAGCAUAAUAAUAGUAAUAACAAUAUUAAAAACAAUAAUAAUAAAAAUAAUGAUAACAUUAUUGAAAUUAAUCAGUUUAAUAGCAAAAAUAUAAUAGGAAAGGACUAAUUUAAAUUGAAAACAGAACUUUGGGGGGCUAAAUCGCAAAUAAAUUAAAAGGAAGGGCCACAUCGAACGCGCGCACAGCACGAAGGGACCAGAAUGGGAAUUAUCCCUUUUCCCCGAAACGGCGUUGUUCCAGGAUGGGCCAAUUUGAAAUCGCAGAAAAUUAUGGGGCCAAAUUAAAAAAUGAAUAAACAAGCGGAAGGGUAAAAUCAAAACAAAUCAAUAAUACGGAGGGGCCAAUAGCGAAAAUAUCCCAUUUAACGAAAGUACGCGGAUCCUCCCCGGGUCGGAUCACACACGCGGGUUGCAGGAGUGAAACGGCGCCGUUUUAAACCAUUGAGGCAAGGUCUAAACGGCACCGUUUCAAGAAUCAGCAUUAAAAUAAAAAGAAAAACUUAAGGAACCCUAACAUCCCUCUUGCGCCGCAUCAGAGAACAAAAGCCCCCCCCCAUUUGCGCCGUUCUGUGGAGCAGUCGUUCGAAAAGGAAAUCUAAAUCCUUGCUCAAAAUCCGAUUACGACGGAGAGAAGCAAGGUCCGGCUAACAGGUUCGUUUCUCUUCCUCCCUUCCUUUAGUUUAUAUAUGUAUUCUAUGCGAUUAAGAGCAAAACAGAGAAGAAAAAAAAACCACUGGAAAAGAAAAGCCAAGAGAAAGAAGAAAACCUUCUUUUCGAAAUUUUUUACUGAUCCUUAUUUUGUGUGUUUCAUACAAAAAAUUCUCCCCUUUACAGAUUUUUGACAUGGCUUUAUAUUGCAAAAAAAAAAAAGAAAAGAAAUGCCCCCCGAAUCCCUUUUUACAUAUUUCUUAUUUACUCCUAUUUUCUCUGAUUUUUGCUCUCGAUUUCUACCCGUUCUUUGUCAUUUUUUGCUGCUCCUUCUGUGCGUUUCUGCAGGUACGGAUGUAUGCGGGCGUGCGUACGGCGUGGUCCCUGGUGGUGGCGUGGCUCGGCUCGGAGGCGCUACACGCGCGCGGACGCAACACGUGCGAGGGGGAAGCCUGGCUCUGUUGCGGCGCUGGAGGCUUACCCUAGCUGCUAGGGUUUUCCGAUUUUGGUCUCUGUUAGGCUAGGUGUUUGGUUUUGAUUUUGGGCUGCAAUGGGUUUGUAAUUUGGGCCUGGGGUAGGGUAAUGCAAUUAGGUAAUGGGUUAGGUUUAUAUUGUAUUGGGUUUUGUAAUACUAAACAAUUAAAAAGGACUGCUAUUGGUUUUUAUUUUAUAUAUAUUUUUUUAUUUUUUGGGAUUUUGGGCCCGGGCAAAUUGGGCCUAUUACAAUGUCAUUUACAUGCUUAAAAAAAUGCUUUUCCAUUAAUUUAUUGGUGCCUACAAUCUUAUUUUUAAGAUUAUUUUAUCUAAGUUAUUAUCAAGUAGAGAGCAUCAAUAUAAUUUAUAUUUAGUAUGAUGAUAAUAUACAAUUCUACACAUUAUUGACGGAAUAUGUUUUGAUAUAUCAUUACGUGAUAUUUUUUAAAAUUUAAUGAUGUGUAAUCAUCUAAUUCACUGAUGAUAUAUAUAAUAAUAUGCUAUCAAUACAUGAUAUAUAUUUGAAAGAGGUGUGGUGAAAGGGGAUUGGCAAGGGCCUUGACCCUUUG
rnacentral:lncRNA from 1 species